rnacentral:lncRNA from 1 species
AAAUUGAAUGCUCUCCAGUUUCACUUAUAAAGAGAAAAAAAAAAGGGUUUACUAGUCUAAAUAGGUCUUCGGGUUAAUACUAUUAAAAUUCUAGAUCAUACCUCAGACCAGUUAAAAUGUAUAUGUGUUAAUACCAGUGACAGACCCUGCAAAUAGAUCUGAGUUAGAUAAUGACAAAUCCGAUGUGGAAAAAUCAUGGAAACUUAAUGAGAGUACAUUUAGGUCAGAAGUAUUAGUUUGAGAUUUUUUCGUGAAAAAAAAAAUUUUGUUUAAUAUAAUUGUGCUAGAAGAUAUCAAUUUGAAAUUUUUAAUGAUAUUCUAGCCUCCUUUUGUAAUUGAUGUCUGCAGUUAAUACCGUGGUCCUUGGAUUGGAGUAGGAUUUGGGUUGGGUGUGGGUCUGGACCAAAAUUUAACGGGCCUGACUAGCUUGCGGGGGUGUGCUGUGGUAGGGCCAAGGGGUUGGGCUAUGGAAAUGACGUAGCCAAGAUUUCUAAAUUUGGAAUUUUGCAAAAGCAAAAGAAUUAGAAAAUAGAGAUGAUAGUCUAGGCUGAAAGUCCCUUAAAACUUGGGUUUUUCAAUUGGAUGAAUUAGCUAAUUUCUUUCUCGAUGAGAUCUUUAUGAUCUCGUCACAAAAUUAGAAUUUGAACUGGUGGGGUAGUUAGGUGGCAGUUCUUUCUCGAUGAGAUCUUUAUGAUCCAUAAGAUCUUUUUCGAAGAUGAUGUCGCGGCGUCUCCAUCUUUAGCUUAGUCUGAAAGAAUGACAUUCCUUUGAAAUACUCAAGUUCUGUCCUCAGUUGCCAGCAUUUGUUCAUGAGUGUUCAUUGUUUAGAGCUGCGUGAUCUUAUUGCACUCCUGACUGCAAAGCCCUCUUCUUUUCACUUGCUGCAAAAAAUGCUGCAAGCCCUUUCUUUGUUUCUGCUGUAAUUCUCUCUGUUAAUGAUUUCACAAAGAUGGGGUUUCCCGAUUAGACCUCGUGGCGUUAGGUACUGGUAAUUGUCGACAAAUUAUGACCAACCAACUACACCAUUGCGUAUGUUAAGUAUCCGAAAAUCUUGUUCAGCUGUCGUGUUUUCGCCCGGCGACAAUAGGUAGAGCAAUCAUGAUCUUGAUUGAUCCGGUACAGUUGCUGAGGGAAUCUACUUUCCAUAAAUUCUGGGAAGAUGUUGACAUGAAAAGGUUACUGGGCUAAAUCAAGAACUCAUCUGUCAAAUCCUUCAGUGCCCCUAAACAACCUGAUUUAGAUCUAACCGGGCUUCAUUUUCUUGGGUCAUUAUCUUGUUAUAAACGCUGAGUUUCUUCCUCCUCUAUGCAGAGUGGGGCAGAGAAGAUCUUGUCGGUCCAGAACAUGGUGGGCAGCUUGGCUUUGGGCUGGGCUCUCAUGGGGUUGCUACUCUAGAGCAUUAUGAUAUACAGCUUCAUGAUUUAGUUCUAUUUACUCCUGUCUCCACACUAUGUUAUUUCACCACUAUCUUUGAUGGGACUACCGCAUGUAUUUUGAGCUCUUUUUGUAUUUUUUUUUUCCCACACAUUUGAGUUGGAUUCUUUGGGAGAGAUUUUUGAGGAGGGGAGGUUCCUGUUGUUGAGGAGAUCUGUUAUUUGCAUGUGUUUGUUAAACUAGCAAAACCUCUCUCUCUCUCUCUCUCUCUCUUCUUUUUCCAUGUUUCAGCCUUGCGUUAUAAAUCGUAUAGUUCAAAAGUCUCUGGUGAGCUCAAUUUAAGUUCAAUGCUGCAACUGUAACCAAUCUAUAUUUUUAUAGGCAUAAAAACUAAUUAAAAUGUCACAUAUUAUGAACCUAAACUCGAUUCCGACCACUUACGAGAUGCACAAAAUAUUCGACAAAUCUAAAUAAAUUUUAAAUUAUAUAUAUAUUUACAAUCUUCAUAAGCAUCAAAAGAUCUUUGACAUACUUACCUUUUCACCAAACAAAAAAAAAGAUCUUUGACAUAUAAGGGUGUGUGUAAGAUGAUCACAAAUGGGAUUCCUUGCACUUAACUAUAGAGAAAAGAACAAAAGAAUUAGCACUUUUUCGCCUUCCAUGCUCGAACUUUCAUAAAUGUUAAACUUUUUUAUAUAACUAGCUUUAUAGCCCGCGCGAUGUACAGUCGAUUAAAGAACGAUAACUUUUAAAUGAAAAAUACAACAUCCAAUUGUGUGAACUUUAGAGGAGAUAGGACCUCAUAUGACUAACCCUUUUUGCCAUCAAUAUUUCUGUACUUGCUUAUUUGGAUUGGGCCACCACUCGACCUCUCUCGCACGGAUUCCUCGUUCAAACGACUCCUAGCUCCGUGCACUCUACGUACCACAAACAAGCAAGUGCCCUCGAGGUGAACUUUAUGGGGUGUCAGAAUCCAAUCGGAAAACGGAAUUGAAAUCAAGCCAAACCUAAUCAAUAUUUCGUGCAAGUUUGGUUCAGUUGAAAUAAUUGAAAAAAUAAAUGUGCUUCUUUUUCUGGUUUGGAUUAUUUUGAUUUGGUUCGGUUAACAAAGCCGAACUGCAACCAAAAUCUCAACAAAAACUGAAGCCUCAACUUAAAAGUCUCUCUUCUUAGUUCGGUUCAUGCUCAUUUCGGGGCACGAAGGAAAACCAAAAACUAAUUCAAUCCAAACCUAUCCGAAUCGGGUUUUCAUAUUAGUUCAUACUUAGUUUGGAGCACAAUUCGAUUUCGUUCAACUGCUCAAACUAUCGGUUUGAUUCAAAUUUCUUAAAAUCCAAACCGAACUAUUGACCCCCCUAAUAACCUUUCACGGACCUUUUGAUACUCAAUUCAAAAUUGCUUUAGAGAAUGUAAUGGUAGUGUGAUGGCCAAUGUGUGCAAAAAAUUCUCCUACCUCAAGUGGGUUUAUUUUGGAAAAUUUAUACUUACUUUGAUAGCCGGCGACUCUCCAAAUUUUGGAGAAGUUGCAUCAUUGGGCAUUCUUUCUCCAAAAUGAGGGUAAAACCGCUAGCGGAGGCACGGUUGUUCGGGUCCGGAUAACUGAAUUCGCACUCCCCUUUCGCCCACUUUUCCGGAUACUCCAUCUCAUUCUUCUUCCUGAACUGAAUUGGACCUUUAGUUGAUGAACCGGCCUCGCUUCUGGUUCGUUGGAAAAAUCAGCUGACUUCUCCCUUCUUCAUUGAUCUUACAAAAAAUCGACUUGUUGCGAGUCUAAGUUUGAUCGAUAUAAGCAUAUAAACAUGUAAAAUCAUGUCAAUUUGUGCCAAAAAGAGAAUGUCAAGAUUAGGAAAUUGCCCCUUUUUUGGCUGCCUUUGGGAAUAGGCCUUGGACACCCAAAGCCCUUUUGGGCAAAUAUUGAGUGUUUGAGAUAAAUUUUACAAACUCCCUUAGGGGAAAGUUAGCAUUAUGUAAGCUGAAAGCCCAAGGCUAGUUUUGGGGUGCCUUGGGCUUUUAGCUCUCUUAGCAUGCAAAUAUUGACCGUUCAUCUUCUUCGUUCAUUGUUCAUCUUCUUCGUUGAAGGCGGCCGUCGGGGUUGCGUAGGGCUACGAGGGGUCAGCAACAAGCUAGAGGAAGGCUAGUGAUAGUCAUAGUGACCCAAGCGACCAUCGCUGGGGCGUCGCGGUGACCUUCGCGAGGGGCCAUGUGAUUUGGGUUGUUGUGACCUUGCCGGGGCCAUGCGACCUCAAGAGAGGGUCGCGCAACCCCCCGAUGAGGUCGCGUGACCCCAGGCGGCCCUCAUCGAGGCCACACAACCUUAAGCGAGGGUCACUAUCGCGACCUACCCCUCAAGGGGAGGGAAUAGGUUUAGGGGUAUUGUCUAAAGAUCGGGCCUACGACCCAUGAUUAGGCACAGGUUCUCCUGAAUCCAUAUCUCGCGCGACAUUAGAGGAUUUAUAAGAAUUUUGUAAUAAGAAGUCGCCACUCACCUAAACCAAGUGAGGCGUGAGAGUAUACCUUACUUCCUACGCAAUCAGAGAAUCUAGAUUCAAGAACUUGAUUACACUAAUUAAUCAAUUAGUAUUAUUUCAGUACCUAAUCUUGUUUAUUUUAUUUUUUAAAUGAUGUUUUUGUCAGGCAACCUAGAUUGAUUUUAUACCUAUCCAUUAACGAUCAUACAAGUGCACAAUCAUUAAAAUAACAAUUAGUAACCAAGGUGAUAACUCUAUAAAAAUAGAGUUAUUUUACCUAUUUUAGACAACAAUUAAUGCAAUAUCUAUGAGAAAAUAUUUGGAUUUCCUUCUGAUUAUUUCGAAUUUUCCUUAUANNNNNNNNNNNNNNNNNNNNNNNNNNNNNNNNNNNNNNNNNNNNNNNNNNNNNNNNNNNNNNNNNNNNNNNNNNNNNNNNNNNNNNNNNNNNNNNNNNNNGCUUCAGAGUACUGGUUUUCAUCGAUCUCCGUGGGACGAUCAAGUAUUUAAUUAGUUUAAUCUUUUUUAGUAUUUAAUUAGUUUAGAAAUUCUAAAUGUAAGUGAACGUGUCGAUCAAGUAAUAUAAUGAUAAGAAAGAGUAUCGUCCCACGGAGAUCGAUGAUUAAUAAACUAAUUAAAUACUAAAAUAGAUUAAUUUAUCUAAAGAUCAAAAUAUAAUUGAGAAUAAAUUAAAAACAAAAUUUGGAGACUAAAUGUAGUAAAUCAAUCAGAUAAAUAUGUUAGAGCAUCCGAUUUUACCAUAACCACUAGAUAUGAAUUUCAGAUUGUUGUGGGUACAAGGACGAUAUCAAAUAUGUGAUAGCGGAAUUUCCUAAUCUAUUACUAUUCUAUCUCUAGGUAUAACAAAUCUACUUGGUUUAUUAAUCCAUUAUAUCUCUAUGUGAAUUAAAAUAAAUAUAAGUGCAUUAAAAACUAUGAAUAUUCCCGGCUUACAAUGAGUCUUUUGGAUCACCGAAAGUUAUACAAAUAACGCGGUAUAUCUCUAUCCAAGUUUAAUUCAUGGUUAUAUAUUAUAAUGAGCAAUUGCAUAUUAUCACUUAUCAGUCUCAAAUAUCAACAUCAGAUCAUUCAAGUGGUGGCCAGUCACUCAAAAGCAUUAUGCACAAUAAUAUAUAACUCACAUGAAUGAAAUCAAUUGUAAAACAUAAAAAUCAUGAAAUUCACAUCAUCAUGGUUAAGCUACAUUGUAGCCUUAACAAAAGAAAACUAGAACAUAACAAAUGAAGAAAUAAAAAUAUAAAUCAAAUCCAACAUCUUGAAUCAAAGAACAAGAAUUCUGUCAGCACUUUGGUAUUCUCUUCAAAAUACUUGAAAAAACUCUAAAAAUAGUGAAAAACGAUCUAACGAAAACCUAACUUCUCUCUCCCUCAAUGUUCUCCUAUUCAUAGGAUAUAUCCAAGAUGCUUAUCUCCAAGAAAUUACGCACAAAGUUAAAGAGUAAAUCAAAGGAUUUUGAUUUGAUAUCUAUCUCCCAAUACUUGCAGAUAACAUUAUAGAAUAAAAUCAAGCAUUCCCUAAUUUGAUGUCCAUCUUCCAUUGUUUUUUUUUUUUUUGAAUUCCUGAUUUUUGCCAUUAUUUUCCUUAUCUUCUCAAUAUCUCAUUAUUCUGCAUAAAUAAGGAAAAUUCAAAUAGUUAGAAGAAAAUCAAAAUAUUUUUUCAUAGAUAUUGCAUUAUUUGUUGCAUAAAAUAGGUAAAAUAACUCUAUUUUUAUAGAGUUAUCAAACCAAAUGAUUAAAUAAAUUGUAUGGAAGAGCAAAAAUUUAACAUCAAAGAAAAGAUAAAUACUAAUCCUAACUAGAUUAAAGGGAAGCCAAAAUCAACAUACCAAAAUUGCACAAUCGAGGAUAGUCGUCUUUAAGGACAACUAAAACCUCUUGAGUAGGAAUCUAAAUUGAAAGACUUCCAUUUUUUAGAAGAAAAUGAACUAAGAGAUUAAUUUAAACAUUUUUAAAUAUUUUUUAAUUAAUAAUUUUUUUUAAAAAAUAUUGAAUUUUUUUUGGAAAAAUUGAAUUUUUGAAUUUUCCAAAACCUUUUGAUUUUUGAUUGUUUUUUUGGUGUCUUUCUAAUUACUACUAAAUUUUUUAGACUUUUCUGAAUUUUGGAAUUUUCUGAGAAAUUUUGAAUUUUCCUUAAUUUUCUUGUUUUAAUUAAUUUUAAAAAAACUCGAAUUUUCAAUAUUUUCUGAAAUUUUUUUGAAAUUUUUUUAAUGUUCUUUGAAAGUUGUUAAAUUUUUGGAAAAUAUUUUGAUUUUUCCUAUUUUCGAAAAUUUUUAAUUUUUUUUGAAAUUUUUAAUAUAUUUUUAAUAUUUAAUAUUAUUUUAUUCGAAAAAAGGGUUCGACCGGGUGGGACCGAUCCAAUCCUAGCCCAUGUGGAUUAAAAAAGGAAAACCUUUUUUUAAAUUUGUUUAAUUAAUUUUUAAAUCUAUUUUUUUUUGGUAAUAUUUUAAUUUUUUUUAAAUGAUCUUUGUAAUUCCCUUUUUCGUCUUUUCCUCACUUCGUCCUUUUCCCUGCACACUCUGCUCGUUGAUCCUUCCCAAAGCCAACACUUGCAUGUUAUGGUUUUCUAUUUUUUAUAACCUUUUUUUGUUUUGCUUUUUUGCUUUUUUUUAUUCUUUAUUUAUUUAUUUUCUUUACUUCGUCCCUUCCCCCUGCACGCCUUCAACCCUCCCGAAGGCUGUCUUCUCCUUCCACGCGACACUCUUCACGAAAUUUGUUUCUUUACCAAAACUCAUUCAAACAAUAACAACAACCGAAGCACCCAGCAUCCCUUCCAACACCAAAUCACCCUGACCGGCGCAAAUCACCGCCGGCCAUCUAACUCCGGCAACGGCUGAACCAAUUUCGGAUGCGGACAUCACCCGGCUUAAACAUACAUAAUUACUCCACGAGAAUCGCAUGAAAUCAUAACGAAAACAUAAAAAAAGGGGCACGGUCCCGCAUAUAUAUGACCAAGCACAAAUCAGAACGAGUUUGAACUCAGGUUGUUUCUCGGUUCUCUUUGAGACAUUUUGUCAAACAUAUGUGGUGCAUCAGCUAGAAGGAGGACCUAGGCUCGGUUGGAGCAGAAAACAUCAACACGACAUGCACGAACGACACACUCAAGAUCCGCUAAGGGACAUAUUAAUCACACUAGAACAGAUAUGAACACAGCAAGUAUCACGACAUACUCACGGGCUCAAAUCUCUUUCAGGCAUUUCAACAACCGGUUAGCAUACACAACAGAAACGAAGGAUCUUCGGACUGGUAUGGACUCGAACACAAGCCUAGAUGUCUAUCCACAUGCACUAGGACAUCUACGAGCUUUCAUGGAGGACCGGUGAGGCCGGAGCUCGCGCCCGAGACCUCGAAAAGAAGCUCAUGGCUUAGGGAAGCCUACCUGGUUCGGGUGGCGAGCAACGGGCGUACUUCAUGCGACGGCGAAACGCUCUCUGAGUCUCACUUCUCUCCUCUCACUCUCUCCCUUUGGCUCGCCCUCUACUCUCUCAAGCUCUCUCCAACUCUCUGUCCUUCACUUGCUCCUCUCUCGCUUUUUAAGCAUCGACGCGCAUGGCCUUCUGCCAAGCCAGCUGUUGCUGCCGGUCUGCCUCCCGACCACCAACUCCGGUGCGAGGCUCAUGCCUGCCCCUUCUAACUCUGUCCUUCCUCUUGCUCGCGUACGCCCGCCUCGUUUCUGCAGAAUGCGUAAAGGACAAAGAGAGAGAGGGAAAGAAGGCCGGGCUCAUCAUGGGCAAAAUAAAAGAAAGGUGGACCGGCCCAGGCGAAGAGGAAGAAAAGGGAAAGAGAGAGAGGCCGGGCUGACCUGCCCCCGGCCCGGUCUCAUCUUUCCCAUUUUCCUUUCUUUUUCUUUUCUCUUUCUUCUUUUUUUUGUAAUUAAUUUCUUUUGAUAAUUUUUUAAUCUUUUUCUUUUUGAUGACAAAUUUUUUGGAAGAAAUUAAGAAAAGACCAUUCAAUUGCAGUGCAAUAAUGAAAACACAAUACAUUUUAAUGGUUUUCUUUAACUAUUUUUUUAGCGACUAAUUCCUAAUUUUGUAUGUAAUUAAGUUCUAAAUAAGAUAGUAAAAUUUAGGGGUCAAUAGUUGCGAAACCCCUAGACAAGGUGACGUGACCUUAGGUGGCUCUCGCUAAGGCUGCGCCUAGGGUCGCGCAACCCAAGUGAGACCCUCGCUUGAGGUCAGACAACCUUAACGAGGGCCACCCCUAGGUCAUGCAGCCUCAGCAAGGGCCACAUAGGUUGCAUGACCCUUGCCGAGGGUUGCGCGACCCUUGCCGAUGAUCGCUUGACCCUAGGCGACCCUUAUUGGUGGUCUCCAAGGGCCACUUGAGAUCCAGCGACCUCAAACGAUGGCUACCGCCGAUGAUUUGGAUGGCCAACAGUCACUGCCCUUCACCGAUAAACUAUUUUUUUCUUUUUUCUUUUUUUAAGAAUAAAAGCCAUUUGUAAAUAUAAAUCCUCCAAACAUUAUUUUACUCAAAUGCACUUUACAAUAGAGUUUUAGAUUACGAUUUACCAAACGUAAUUUGCUUUUGAAAAAUCCAUUUAACUUAAAACUCUUUGCAUUUCUCUAAAUAAUUUUCCCAAAAAGUCCAACCAAAUGUACCUUUAAUCUACCUCGUGGCAAGUUAGACUCGGCCCAUUUUGGAUAGUUGUGAUUUGACAAUAAGAUGCAUGACAUCCUGCGGAUCCUACAAAAGCCUAGAUUGUUCGGUUUUGUUUUGAAAAAAUUCCCAUAAAACGCAUGAAAUCUUAUUUAAACACAAAAUUUUGUUGUUCAAAAAAUUAAACUCGGGUUCCUUCCAGAGAUUUUAUUCAGGUUUGAAGGCAUCCCGGCUCUAGAGUGAAAAAACGGAAGUGUAUGAAAAGGUAUAGGACUUGGAAAAUCAAGUUAUCAAGAGACGUAAAUCGCUGGAGGAAAUUAAAGUCGUACAAAAUGCAGAUAGAGAUGAAUGCAAAUGUAGGAUUGAAACCAUAUAUAUUCAUGCAAUGUUUUUAGACUUUUAAACGAGACCAGUAGUACUGACAAAAAAAAAAACGAGACCAGUAGAUGAAACACAAAAGUCAAAUUUACAAGACGCGUCACAAACGGAACACUACUCAAACCGAAACUGAAGAAGGAUCCGAAAGACAUCGAAAACGAAAGAGAUUUCAUGAAAACUAAAGACCAAAGAAGAUUCGAUAGAGUUGUGACAUAGAUCGAGCAUCUCUUCUUCGUUCAAUCUUCGUACUUGUACCCCGAUUCACAGCGACAAACAGGUAACUCUUCAGUCCAUAUUGAAGUUCUGUGUUCUUCAGAACAACAUGAAUGACCGAGGAUAUUUUGCUCGCAGGCACGAAUUCUGGACAGAACAUGAGUAGUGCUUGGAACUUAAGACAGAAUUUUUUUUUUUAUACCACGAUGCAAUAGACUUUCAUUCCACAUUUAUUUACAUUUAUAAAGUAAUUUUAUAGAUUGGACUUGAGCAAGUCCUUAAAAGGCUCAUGGAGUGAGAGAUCCCGCGCUGGGGUGAGAGAUCUCGCGCUGUCCUCCUAAUCUCUCUAUGUCGGAAAGACAAAGAUAAACAGAGAAUUAAGAGACGUCACGGUGGUAAAAGUAGACACCACGUCAGGCGUCACAGUGGUGAAGGUAGAUACCACGUCAGGACUUCGAUUCUGGUUACUACUAGGUAGGCAGGUAUAAUAAUCUCCCGUGCCUAGAGUGAAUGAGGGUGGGUUUAAUGCCCACAAUUGAAUUGAUGUGCCUUACAGCAUUGUCCUCAACCACAGGUUAACUCAGUUCUCCUGGUUGAGGAGAGAAUUUUUUUUUUUUUUAUACCACGAAUAGACUUUCAUUCCACAUUUAUUUACAUUUAUAAAGUAAUUUUAUAGAUUACUUUUUGCAUCUAUCUCCGUGUUUAUCAGCAAACAAUUACUUGGACAAGAGCCGUGGAAGCUCCCCUUAGCCGACGACUACUUGGAUCGCGUGAUUCAAGCAGUACAAGUUUUUGAGAGGUAAAAUUGCACCCAUGUUUUGUACGUCCGAACUAACGUUUAAUUCUGUCUUAAAAAUUAUAAAAUUAAUAUAAUCCAGCCCUUUUAAAAUCGCUCAUGCAAUUUUUCUAAUGUGACACAUCGGGAAUUCAACACGGCUUACCUUAAUAAUUUUUGCAUAUGCAACAUUGCCGUGACCUGAUGAGGUGUCAUGUCAUAAAACAAUACCCCCAGUACAAUGCCCCUCCCUCCUUUUUCUUUGGCGAAAGAAAUUCCAUUCAUUACCAAAAUGCUACAUGAUAGUUUUCAUAGGAAAUCUAAAAAAUCACCAUAACAAGAAUAGCCCGUAAAGCUCCAAAAAAAAAAAAAAUCAAAAUACAUCAUCAGAACAUGAAUGGCAGAGAUAAUCACACACUUGUUCUUCAAAAAUAGAUUAGUGACUACAUUCAAGCAAAAUGAUCCAUAGCCAAUAUCACCGAAUCACAUAUCAUCAAUAGUGAUGGGCACAUGUUGAGAUCUCCAUAUGUAAUUAUGGUUUUGCCUUUCGGUGGUGGGUACUUAGAUUCAGUGUCCCCAAUACCAUCACCAUUGGGAAACAACAAAAACACGUUGAACAAGCUUGACUUUGACACCUAUGAGAGUCUUUUAAUAGGUCGCCAAGGUUUUUAACAAAGAUGCAUUGAACGGGCGUAGAUUUGACAAUGAAGUUGCUAUGAAUACCAUUGAAAUUAGAGGCGGAACAUUUAUUCAUUAAAACUUCUAGAUUUGGAAUUAGAUUAGAGAGCAAAACUUCCGAAUCUAAAACUAGAUUAGAAGAAUCAGGAAAGAAAUAAGACGGAAAUAAAAAGGAAACCAACUAGGGAGGGAAGGGAGAGAUUAGGUCAAAUCCCUCCCCUUUAAGUCAAAGUCAAGGUUUUCCUUUUGUAUUAAUUGAUAUGGAUGUCGACAUGCAUAAUUGAUGCGUUAUUAAUGUCUGGAGAACAUAGCUUCUCUUGUUUAAGACGCUUCGUUUUUUGAUCUUAUGAAUUAAGAAUUCAUUUGAUCUGGUGAGAAAAUGAAUAGCAACCUCAAAUUGGAAAGAGUGGAGCUUCAAGAAUCGGGACAAUGUUCCAAAUCAAUGAUAUCGAGCAAACGUGUGAGCUUGCUUUGACAGGAAAAUCGAGGGUCGAAAAAUUCUAUCUCGAAAUAGAAGUUCACUUCAUGCAUCUUUUUUGUCUUAUGAAAAGUAGAGAAUCAUUGUCCGACUAUAAGGUCAACCUUUUUUUGGGAAAUUUGAGAAAACAUUCAAUUAAAAAAAAAAACUCAGAGGACAUUUGACACAUUAAAUAUGGCAACAUUUUUUUUCUUUUUUAAUACGGUUGCUUAGCAAAUGCUCGCUCAUCAACAGCCACUUCGAUUUUUGAUGCACCGAUUGCGAAUAAUGAGAAAAUCGAUGUAUCAGAAACGAUGAAGAUUUGAGGAGAAAUUGAAAGUGAAUAAAACCGAAGAAACUAGUUAUGCGGACUAAUUGCUGUUCUAAUGUCCUGUCCUGAGAAGUAAAUUGAUAUAAUUUACAAUGUACUUAACGUUACGUGCAGAUCCAGCUGGAUUGGACCGGACCCAUGCGGUGCUCAGUGGCCGGUGCCGAGGCUGUCGGUUUACCAUCGUCCAAACGCAACCUGGAAUGAAAAUGACAGCAGAAAAACGAUCGGUCCCCGAGGCAGUUAAAGCCGUUGAGCAGUAAAAAGUAGUUGGAGUGAACAGUUCUUGAAGUUCGUUCUUGGCCCGUUACGGCAAUUGCUUUUCAUCGAAAGAUGAACCGCUCCAAGAGACCGUACAAGUAACAUUCCCAAUCCACGCGUGGAAAAUAGGCGGUCUCCAAUGAAAAUCGGCCCAUUGGCCGAAACAGAUGAGAUCUAAGGUAAAAUUGACAAAGUUGAAAAAUUUAUAAUUAAAUUUAUAUGUGUACGAUAGAUUUAAAACUAAUUGAAUAAUUACCCUUGAGUUUUGUUGGGCUCAAAUUUCGUCUUGAAAAUAAUUAUGGAUUUCAUUCGAUAAUUUUGUUAAUUAUAUGUAUCUCUUAAAAUUGCUUGCAUGUCUCAAUUUAAUUGCAUAUAUCUUGAUUGACAUACGUUACCUUUUAUAGUCAUUUUGAUAGACUGAUGCAUUAUUCUUUAUAUACAAAUUCCACAUUUCUCUGCUUCACUUUUUAUUAUGAGGUGCAUUGGGUGUGAAUUCUCUCUUUUGCUUUAUUGUGGGGUGCAUUGGGUGCACUUCAUGUCCGAUGUACCCAUGCAUCCAUCCUUGCCAAUUAACAGUAUUCCCUCUAUGAGCACAAGUCUCAAAGUACUUAGUCAAGUCCAUUCCACCACGUCUAUGCCAUGUAUACAACAAAAUUAUUUGAAAAAUAUUACUUCAAAUUUCCAACGGACCAAAUCAGUAAAUUGGCAAGGUGAUUGUUGGAUGGAUUGCAUUGAUUCUAUAAUGUUUCGGAUUUAGUUGUACUUUUUAAAUAUUUUGGAUUUUGAUUGCUUGCACAUAGCACCAAAUGCUUUGUACUAAUGAUACGAUUUUGCCGUUCUAAAACCAUAGGAGAUAACUUCUUAGAAUGGUCAGCUUGUCUACCCAAUCAACGUCUCCUAGAAUUUCCAAUAAAAAAAAAUCCUAGAUUCAAUAAAAAAAAAAGGAUUACCCCUGAAAAUCUGGUCAAGUUUUCAGGCUUUAUGAGACUAUCAUGCUGGCGGGAAAAAAAAGUAAAAAUUGAAAAAGAGAGAAAAGAUUGGUGCAAAAAAAAAAAAAGGGUUCUUUUUUGGUUUGUGGAAAAAAAAAAUAAGGUGAAUUCCACUGAGUCAAACUUCGACGCAAAUUUCCACAAAUUGGUUUCAAAAACUACCCCGCUGUUGAGACUCGUUGAUUUUAUGAAAAAUAAAGAAUUUUAAAAAUAUUUAAAAAAAUGAUUGUUUGAAAUAAUUAUUAAUGAAAAAUAUUGAUGAAGGUAUGUUUCAUUUAUUAAUUUUUAUAGAUUGUAUAUACAAUCAUUUUUAGAAAAAUAUCUUCUGAAUAAUUUAUUUUCUAUAAACUAAAUGGAGCCAACGCAGAUUACAAAUCCCAAUAAAAAAAUUUCAACCAAUUGAUAAAAACCCAAAGCAUAUUUCAUUUCUUAACAAAAUUAAUGGCCUUAUUCACGAGGCUGCCAAAGUAAUAUAGAAAACAAUAUUAUAAGUGUCAUAACUUUUCAAUUGAUCAUUUGGGCACCAUAAAUAUUUUUUUUAAAAUGUUCGCCAUAAAUACCAAAAAUUCAACAUGGCAUGACACUUGUGAUGGACAAAUUAUAGUACUCAAAUAAUUGUUUCUCUUAGACAUUAUGAUACUUAAAUGAAAAAAAAAAGAUAUGAUUUUUAAGUGAGCAUUGUACACGAAUUUUGCCAUUCGAGUUGUCUUUAUUCUUAAGUGAUGAACUUAGUUAGACAUACAUCAAAUGAUAUAUAUAUAUAUAUAUAUAUAUAUAUAUAUAUAUAUUUAUUUAUUUAUUUAUUUAUUUAUUUUCAUAAUUACUAAUAUCAAAUUUGAGAUAUUGCAAGGAAUUGGAUGCGGUUCCAUUUAAGCGCUUUGACAUUAGACAAGACGCUUGAGAUGAUUGCCCUAAACGCGUUUGUUCAGCUGCAAUUUCAUGUAUUUAAAGAUGAAAAGAAAAAUGUAUCUUUUCAUUUUGAUUUGGCCUAUAACCAUUGACUUUGCAUGUGUUUGUUCGGGAGAUUUGAACAUGAAAUCAGCUUUAAGAAUCUGACAGACACUGUCGUCUCAGGAAAGGCUAGGGAAGAUGAGUUCUCUGAUUAGUUUCAAUAAUCAUCUUAUCCUGCCCAAUAAUCAAAUCUCAAGCCUGGACUGUAACACCGUGCUCGUUACGUCUCUACCAAGCAUUUGACUUUAGAAGAACACAUGAGGAGGCGGAAAAAGGCACACCACAAAUAUCAUACUUUAUAAGUGUCAUAAUUUUUUUCAAUUAUUUGAUGCCAUAACUUAUGUAUGUCACUUAUUUGAGUGUAACUUUUCAAUCGAUCAUUUGAUUGUCAUAAUAUUUUUUUAAAAUAUUCAUUAUAAAUGUUAUACCAUGUUGGAUUUUGGAUAAUUAGAUAAACAUUUUUAAAAUGUUAUGACACUCAAGUGAUCAAUUAAAAGUUAUGAUACUCAGUGAGUGUUUUUUUAAAAGUUACAGCACUUAAAUAAGUGUUGUACAAAAAUUAUAGCGCAUGUGGUGUCCUUAUUCCUAAUGACGCUUAGGAUAAACAUAAGUAAAAGGUUUUUGUGGGACUAAUCUUCGCAUAUGUGGGACUAAUCUUCGCAUAUUUCUGGGAACCAAAGGGCCGACUACCGCCUCAACCUCUCUUUGGUCCGCCAUUGCUCGACAACUUUGCUUCACAAGAGUUGCCCCUUUUUGAAAAACUCACAUUUUUUUCCUUUACACUUUCCACCCUUGGAGUUUAACGCGUGCGGAUAUAGCAAAUUUGGGGGGAUCAAGAAGCCACUUCAUUAAGCUCGGUUUUAGGGUCGAAAUAUGAGAGGACGAUAAGUUCAAUCAUCGAAACGAAGAUUUCGUUUUCUCUAUUAAUUAAGAAUUACGCCAUGAAGAACUCGUAUUUAUCAAACAAUUCUGUAUCAUUUCGUUUGCUCUAUUUGAAGGACUCUUAAUUCUAUACCCCUAUCACAAUCUUAAGUGAACGUGUUUGUUGGGAAAGAUUGGCUAAAGAAAUUUGGCAGUAAUAAAAUCACAUUCUAGAUCUGGUCUUCCAGAAAAUAAUUGCAUAGUAAAGUCAACUUUUGCACCUAACAUUGUCGUCUUGAGAAGUUGUUUUUUGAGUACUCUAAUUUCACCGAGCGCCGCGCCUGCAGAUAUGUAUAUAUUGUCAUGAUUUUUACUUGCCACAGAUCAAUCUUGAGUGCGAACGUGUUGGUUGGGGGAAGAUUGGUCGGGGGAAGAUUGGUCAAGAUAUUUCUAAGUACUAAAAUCACAUCCCAAAGCUGUUUCCCCGAAAAGAAAAUUUACAUCCCAUCCCAAAAGUCAACUUAAGAAUCUAACAUUCCCACCCAAGGGAAAGGAGAGGGAAGAUGCAGUGCCUUAAUUAUAAUAGUCUGGCGUAGGUAGCAUGAGAGCAUGGGGGAAUAUACAAAUGCUGGGAAGUACAUGCCAGAUUACAAGAAUCAAUGUUGUUAUUGUUAUCCUUAUCGUUAUUUUUGUUGUCAUGUGAUCAUAACAUUGAUUCUUGUGAGUUUCAAUAGUUCUCAUUGGACCCGACAGGUGUGCCGUUUCCCAAUACAGAUGAGACCAGCUUUCAACUUGCAAUUCAUCUGUUUGACUUUUAGCUGGUUAAGAUUCAGCAAUAGCAGAGUGAUGAACGUGACUAUGGCCAAUCAAAGACUUGAGUGUGCAUCGCUCUUGGUUCAACAUGGGAACUGAACCGAACCGGCUGUUUUUGGGUAAUUUUUGUGGAAAUCAGUCUAAUUUCUUGUUCCUUCUUAGGAACCGGACCGAAUCGGUGAAACUGACAGAGUAUAUUAUUUUUUAUUCAGCAAUUGUCAAAAGGUACAAUAUUUGUGUGAGUAAUCUAUUUUUUUACUAGUAACUUCUCUGUGAUUAGUAAUUUCGUCGCACAUUAAUGUAACUUUCAAUAUAUUAAAGAACUUCUUUGAAAGAAAAAGAAAAAAAAAACACCGCCUGUUUUCGAGACUAGUAACUAGACUGGGAGCGUUUGCUCAAAAAAAAAGAAGAAGAAAAAAACUAAAUUGGGAGCGGCUAAUCCAAUUCUAGAGUGAACAAGGUCGAUUCUAGAUUCCACAGACUUGGAAUCGUUUUUGUGCAGUCCGGUUUCUGAUUCAAGAAUGAGUUGAUUCCUAUCCUGGAAUUGAUUACCCUGAAUACCUCAACUAUUUUUAAAAUGAUUAUAUGCAAUUUUCUUUCCCUAGAAAAAAAAAAUGAAUUUGAAGAGGAUGCACAAGGAGUCAGAUUUUCUAAUUCAAAUAGGGAAAUUUUCCCAAGAGACCAAUUUUUUUUUUUUUUGAAGCCAAACAAGACUAGGAAGGGUAACAAUUGUUUGGUAAGAAAUGGGAGAGCUUGUGGCCUCAUAGGCUUGGUAGAAUCAAUGUUUUGUCUCUAUUAUUUCAACUCAAUAAAUGUUUUCCCGCAUAUUGAAAACGGAAUAGUUAUAUUUGUAAGCAUUUUAUUAGACACCCGUUAAGCAACUAAUUAAUUUUUUUUUACAAUUUCAAUGCGUUGGCUAUCUUGUGUUAUACAAGAUCACUAUUUUGAAAAGAAAAUUAUUCCCCGCUCAAUACUCCAUAAAUGCUCUAGGGCAUUCACUAAUAAGGCCUUACAAGUUCUUGAUUUGGGAAUAAAUUGAUUGUAAUUGAAGAACAUUAUAAUCUAAAUUCAAGAAUGCGUAAGAUGAUCAAACAAAUAUUGAUGUGAUAAACGCAACCAAUUAAAAUAUAAGAAAAGCGUAAAAGGUUGAUGGGCUAUUAAAGAAAUUCAACGUGGGUAGGUUUGAUGUGAUUGCGAAACUAUGAUCCAUUGGGGCUAUCAAACUUCUAUGCUCGGUAGGCUCAAUAAAUAUGAAAAGGAUUGUGCACAAGAGUCAAAUUGCCCGAGUGAUAGGCAGUGUAGUGGCCAAUGCUGGCAAAAUCUACACUGGCCUAGCUCUAUAAACACAGGCUGCUAAGAUUUGGUGAAGACAUGAAUUCUCUCUAGGCCACAUCGUCAAUUGGGUAGGUUCCUACAAUUACUGACUCCUCGUACUACCCAGUCACAUCCCGCCCAUCAAGAAAUAAUGAAGACCAAUGCAGAACGACACUGGAUGAUGUGGGAGACAUGGUCCGAAGUCACUUCACCUCCACCUCUAAAGAAGCAGCAACAACGAGCGAGAGCCCUCAUCAAUGGGGGAACUUGACCACUCAGGGCAGGGCAAUCGUCUUGAUUGAGCACAGAUGAAUUGCCCAUAAAUGUGCAGGAUUCAAGCACCCAUGGGGCUAAAAAUAAUGGGGAAAAGUCCUUGGUCCAGCCAGGAGAUGGAUGUAACAUCAUGGACCAUGCAUGGCGAAAUACACAAGUUGUUGCCAACAACGAACGAAACGGAAUCGAAUGAAGAGCAGCUCUAAUUAAUAGAGGGCUUUUAUAAUGCAUGCAGUCUUUGAACUUUUCUCCUACACAAGCCAACCUACUUUCGUCAUCAUUGAUUGGGUAUUAAUAGUUUGAAAAAAUCGACCAACUAUCCAUAUUAAUUAAGUUGGGUUGACAAGAGGAGUAAUCGGACUCUGCAUCAAAUUUUUCCAUUAAAAAAUUGAGUAAACAAAACUAAGCACGAUCCAGAGUGUUGUGUAUUAUUAGUAGUCAUAUAUGUUAGUAUAACCUUUUAAUUUUCGAGGUUUGAUAUCCCAUAAGAAGUAAUCAAUUAAAGCAAUUCCAAUUGGAACUUUCUGGUUCUUCUAGCACCAGAAUUCUCAAUAUGACCAAGAUUAGAUUUCAUGGAGUUGGCUCAAUGACUAUUUGACCAGAAUAAGAAAACCCCCUUCAAAUUACAAAGAGAGCUUUUGCAAUUGAAUCAUCUGACAACGUUCAUAAAGAAGAAGAAGAUGGAGGAAGAAGUUAACAUCAAGAUAAUCUCACCAGGGAGAGAAUUUUUGCUUACCAUCACUGAUGCCUCUCAUGUAGGCCAUGCCAUUCGUAAGACUAAUAAAAUGUCAAAUGGUUCAGCUUUACAAAAGCUCCAUCUAAUUAAAACCCGACGUCCGUUAAUGUUAGGCAAACCCCAAAAAAAAAACAACCUCCAUCGGCUCUAUUCCGACCGGGUACGCAGAACUCCGGCGCCCCGUCGGAUUCUACAUGGAGGGGGAAAAAAAGGUUCACUUGGCCCAGAACUUGACCUGCAAUUGAUCAUCCUAUAUUUACAAAUCGAAAGAUGCAUACCCAACCGUCUGAAUCAAUCCCUAACUUGUGAGUCUUUUGUGGUUAGCAACUCAUAGUAUGAACAGUGUGCCCUAAUCCGGUCCUACUCAUUCUCAUACUUCCAUCUUCCAGAUCACACCAUCGACGUUGCUGUCGUGCGCUUUCUCUAGAGCAGCUACCCUCGCUCGAUGUGAUGCCUGUGGGAUCAUACUUUUACCCCCAGUGUCCUGUGUGAGUUCACAUGAUUCACCGAUGGGACCGGAUCUCAAAUCUGCAGGGGGGAUGAAGCAGUCAAUUGAUAGGCCCGCAAUGUUGAAUGCAACCUCCUCGAUCGUCCAAGUUUCUUCCAUCCUAGUUUUUGUAUGGCUCAUUGCCAUCUCCCCAAACCUGAAAACGGUCACUACUGACCGUCCUGCAUGUGCAAUCAUGAUUCCUUCGACGGGCCUGUAGUCAUCAAGGGAUGAAGUGAUGGUGGUUUCCCAGUACGCAGCAUCUCCACCAUUCAUUUGGAUACGAGUAAGAUGGGAAUCCUCGAUGCGGACGAGGAGUCCCGUUUUCUGGCUGAAAUAGCCAAACAGAACGUGUCUUAUGAUCUCGGCAGGCCCCUCACUCCUCGCCUUUAAUGUCUGGGGGUCAGCGCAUAGCUUCAGGAUAAAACAGUCCUCACCAUUAAGCUUCUUCUCGCCAAUGCACCUUGCAUCAGAAAACAGACUCACUGUGGUUCUUGGGUCAAGACCCUGAAAUGCACAUGCGUUACAAACUCAGUCAGUCAUGCACAGCAGCUAAAGGUAAUGUGCAACAAAAAGCAAAGAACAGACGAAAGAAAACAGCUAUUACCUGGAGGGCGCGGCGCAGUGGUCUGACGGGCCCCUUUGCAGUGUGAGCGCCUAGCCAGGGAGUAUGCCUCCAAACGAGUUUCCCGUUACAGCCAGCAUGGACCUUACUUCCACCAACUGCGAGCUCCACGUACCACAUAUCUGGGUUCAUCUGCCAGAGCACGAAACCACCUGUAUGUGCAGAACUCCGGUUUUUUAUAGCCUUCAUUGCACUUUCAAACUCCGAACUCACCAUCUUCAACUUUCCUAAUGCAUAGGCAUUUCGGAUGGAGUUCUGGAGCUUUAGACCACCUGAUGCAGCUGUGUACUGUUGCAGUAUGUAUUGAGCAGAUGACGUUUCCUGAAAUACAAUGAAAUUCACCAUAUGAAAUUUGCAAUUUCCUCAGUAUAUUUCCCGAAAAAGAAACAGCAAAAGAGGCAAGAAGAAAACAAGACUCUGCCAUAAAUCCUGGGGGAUCAAACACGGUGCACUGCUGUCAAUUGACAUCCCACGAGAUCAUGAAAAUGAAAACCCCAGAAUUGAUCCCGAAUUACUAUUUCGAGUUGUUCUGUCCAACCGAAAAAAAAGUGAGGUAGCAGCUUGUUUGUUUCCUGCUACUAAAAUAGUCAACUACACCAAUAAAAUAAAAUCUAAACUGAUCUCCUCACCUACAUUAAAGGCAAAUCCAAACAGUAUUAAAAUAGUAUCCUGAAUCUCCAGUUACCUUAGUUAGCAUAAACAAAACAAGAAACCAAAUAUCACCCACGAGAUCCAGACCGACUGGUAUCUCGGAUUCAAAUCUUGCCCAACUGGCAGUACAUAUGUACUAAUUUAGCAGCUUUUCUGAUUACAGUGAAUCAAGCCAGAACCAACUCAUUGUCUCAGCUCAAGAACCACACCUGCCCAGCCAUCAAUAAAGAAUGCCAGAACGUAAUGAAAACAGACAGCUCGAUUUAAACCAAAGAAUCACGCAGAAACUGCCAAAUUCCCGGACAGUGCAGUACGAAAACAGCAUAAUUUCCCCAGAGGCAAGAAAGACAUGAACCAGCUCGAUUUCACCAUUAUUGAGAGAGAUUCUCGGGCGCUCUUCGGGUACCAAAGUACCCAUCAACCCACCAACCAUGAAGAGCCGUGACAUUCCGUUUCGUGAUCAGAAGCAAGAAAUGUAAUUCGAAAACGCUGGAGUGAUUCUCGCAAAGAAGAACACUACCCCCUUCUCUGCAUUGGAAAUGCACAGCAUCGCAUUCACGCAGCAUCUUGAAGAGAGAGAGAGAGAGAGAGAGAGAGGGGCUCACGAUAGGAGUGUCCUUGACGCUGAGGUGAGGCAGAGGGUCGAGGACGCUAACAUGCACCGGGGCGAGCGGCGCGCCCAUCACCCCAAUCAGCAUCCUCACGUCGCUCCUCUUCCCCGACGACGCCGACGCCGACGACGACUCCGCCGGCGACGACGACGACGAGGAGCUCACCGGCGGAGCCCUCCCGAGCUGGCCCUUCACCCACUGCCCCAGGCCCGACCCGCCGUUCCCGCCCCACCUCUUCGGGUCGCCCUCCGGAUCCGGGCCCUCCAUCAGCGGCGUCAGGCUCCCGGAUCUCGGGACGAUCGCCAGCUCGGGCGGCGGCGGCUGCGGCUGCUGCGGCGGGGCCCCCCACCCAGCCGCCGCCUUGGCGUGGCGGCCGCGGCCGCGCGGAGCAGGGCGAAUGGGGANNNNNNNNNNNNNNNNNNNNNNNNNNNNNNNNNNNNNNNNNNNNNNNNNNNNNNNNNNNNNNNNNNNNNNNNNNNNNNNNNNNNNNNNNNNNNNNNNNNNNNNNNNNNNNNNNNNNNNNNNNNNNNNNNNNNNNNNNNNNNNNNNNNNNNNNNNNNNNNNNNNNNNNNNNNNNNNNNNNNNNNNNNNNNNNNNNNNNNNNNNNNNNNNNNNNNNNNNNNNNNNNNNNNNNNNNNNNNNNNNNNNNNNNNNNNNNNNNNNNNNNNNNNNNNNNNNNNNNNNNNNNNNNNNNNNNNNNNNNNNNNNNNNNNNNNNNNNNNNNNNNNNNNNNNNNNNNNNNNNNNNNNNNNNNNNNNNNNNNNNNNNNNNNNNNNNNNNNNNNNNNNNNNNNNNNNNNNNNNNNNNNNNNNNNNNNNNNNNNNNNNNNNNNNNNNNNNNNNNNNNNNNNNNNNNNNNNNNNNNNNNNNNNNNNNNNNNNNNNNNNNNNNNNNNNNNNNNNNNNNNNNNNNNNNNNNNNNNNNNNNNNNNNNNNNNNNNNNNNNNNNNNNNNNNNNNNNNNNNNNNNNNNNNNNNNNNNNNNNNNNNNNNNNNNNNNNNNNNNNNNNNNNNNNNNNNNNNNNNNNNNNNNNNNNNNNNNNNNNNNNNNNNNNNNNNNNNNNNNNNNNNNNNNNNNNNNNNNNNNNNNNNNNNNNNNNNNNNNNNNNNNNNNNNNNNNNNNNNNNNNNNNNNNNNNNNNNNNNNNNNNNNNNNNNNNNNNNNNNNNNNNNNNNNNNNNNNNNNNNNNNNNNNNNNNNNNNNNNNNNNNNNNNNNNNNNNNNNNNNNNNNNNNNNNNNNNNNNNNNNNNNNNNNNNNNNNNNNNNNNNNNNNNNNNNNNNNNNNNNNNNNNNNNNNNNNNNNNNNNNNNNNNNNNNNNNNNNNNNNNNNNNNNNNNNNNNNNNNNNNNNNNNNNNNNNNNNNNNNNNNNNNNNNNNNNNNNNNNNNNNNNNNNNNNNNNNNNNNNNNNNNNNNNNNNNNNNNNNNNNNNNNNNNNNNNNNNNNNNNNNNNNNNNNNNNNNNNNNNNNNNNNNNNNNNNNNNNNNNNNNNNNNNNNNNNNNNNNNNNNNNNNNNNNNNNNNNNNNNNNNNNNNNNNNNNNNNNNNNNNNNNNNNNNNNNNNNNNNNNNNNNNNNNNNNNNNNNNNNNNNNNNNNNNNNNNNNNNNNNNNNNNNNNNNNNNNNNNNNNNNNNNNNNNNNNNNNNNNNNNNNNNNNNNNNNNNNNNNNNNNNNNNNNNNNNNNNNNNNNNNNNNNNNNNNNNNNNNNNNNNNNNNNNNNNNNNNNNNNNNNNNNNNNNNNNNNNNNNNNNNNNNNNNNNNNNNNNNNNNNNNNNNNNNNNNNNNNNNNUGAUUAUGAAAUUAUAUCUAGCUACACAUUCACUUGUUCGAUGAUACAUGUUCAAAAGGUGUGUACACUAGCACUAGACCGAAUUUGAUAGCGCGUAGCAUUACUCAAAGUAUGUGUCUCAAUUUUUCUCAUCUCAAGAGAAAAUUAAGGAAAACUUUCGUCUGGAAUCAUUUUGUAAAGGACGCAAUUAGCAGAAAAAUAAUAGAGGAUGCCUCGUCUCUUAUGAUUUUCUAUUACAAUGUGUACGACGUUUCAAUGUAAAAAAGUAUGAGAUGUUGUAAGUAUUACCAUAUGUCUGCCAUGUUGUGGCCAAAAUGAUUAUGUCUUUUGUCGCAGAGUGAGUCUGAGAGAAAUGAACAGUUCCCCCCCCCCCCCACCCACCCACCCACCCACCCACCCACCCAUCCUACGAUCCUUACUGCCCUGAUCGGGCUCACAUGAUCUAACGGCUCAUCUGAUGCCGGCUUUGAACGAUGAGAGAUUAUGGUGAUCGCCUCGCGAGCGAUUAGGGCGCGCACUCGUCGCAUCACGGUUGUUGGAUCAAGUGUAUCCCAUGCGAUGGCUCAUCAUGCUUGAGGCUAGACCCAUUAAAAGGGUGAGCUAGCUAAAAAAUGAUAUGAUCUAAAUUAAUCCAAUUUUCAUGAGAAACAAAUUUUGUGAUCUAUACUUGACUUGAUCAGUAUUGCUACAACUUAUUUAAUCAAAAAUUGAUGUGAGAGAAUGGAGUGAGUGAACGCAAAAUUGAGUGAGGGCGAGAGAGAGUGAAAUAUGAGUCAUAAAAAUGGGUUGAGUCUAAGUAAGUUUUGGAACCAUUUAAUAUCUAUAUUAUUUUUAGCUUUAUCAAUGUUGACAUAUUUUAUGAUCAAUUUAUUGAAUAUAACUAACUCAUAUAACAACAUAACUCAUCAAAUAUAAGUUAAGAGAUAUGUCCAUGAGCAAUUUUGAUAGGUUUACCUGGGAGUUAAAAUGUGCAAUUUGUGUCUAAUUGGUUCCAUAGUUGCUCGGAUUGGUUUGGGAUGCUCGCGAGAGCAUGAAUCAUGUGAACUCAACGAGAGUAGUCCGAUUAUAUGAAUUGUUUAUGCAAAUGUCUAUAUAAGUUGACCAUUUGAAUGAUUGAGCUCACAUAGAUUGCGUUCACAUAUUGAGUAUAGGUGAGACGACUCCUUUUUGUCAUGCAAUAUUUGUUUAAAAGAUCCUCAUAACCAACAAGUUAUGGCAUUAGGAAUAUUUUAGAAAAUACUUACGAUCAUGAUAGGUGCAUAUAUAUUGUGAAAAAUAAUAUUAUCUUUAUGGAUUAUUUAGAUUAAAGGCUCAAAUAUACUGCCUAGCUCAAGCUUGACCCGAGCUUGAACGAGUAUUAACUUUCCCGAUCGACUAGAUUAGAAAAUCAUGAUGCACGAGCUAAAAUCAACUUGAUUACAAUCAACUUAUAAUCAAACUCGCGUUUGAGCUCAAUGUUAAUAAGUUCGAAUAUGACGUCAUUUUAAGAAUUUCACUUCAAGUUUCUCAACUAUCAAAUAUUCCCACUUUUUAAUUUUUUUUAGUCGAGACAAAUAUUGAUGAAUUCGAGCUUGAAACUAGAUGAGUUAAUAUGGAGCAAUUAUCAAGCCAAGCCCUAGCUACUCGCGAGUGACUUGUCUUACCUCGCGCCUAUGUAUGCAUGACAUCUUCUGUUGAUUACGUGUUUCAUCCUCAUUGGUAAAGCAGUUUAAGAAUCUCACAGUCAAGUUAAGGAAGAUACAGGGAAAAUGUCCAUAAAAGUUGGGAUUAUUUUUCUCAUUAGUCAUAAAUAAAAAAUCCCGCACGUGCAAGUUUCACGCAUUUGAAACCGUAAAGUCAAAGUAGCUUAACUUUUAUAUGGUUAACUUUAAAUAUGAAAUAUACUUAAAUCCACAAAGAGAAGAAAGGAAAAAAGAGAAUGGGGUAGUAAUGAAAUUAGUAUUAAUUAGGUGUAUAUCCGAUAUUAGGUUCUAUGAAACUUCUCAAUUUGCAUUUUAAUUUACCCAAAUAAUGUACGGGCGGUGCUCUUGAAAGGAAAAAUCGCAAAUUAUUACCUAAAAAGUAAGAAUCACGCUAGUAUUAGAUAGACAUUUGAAGAGCGAUUGAAGUAGUUAGAGCUUGAGGAGAAAUGUUUGUAUUAUUUGUUCAUACAAAAAAGUUACAUUUUUGAAAAAAAAAAUUAGAAAAUUAUUUUUGAAAAAAUGACAAUAUUUUCAUGUAUUUAGUUGAAAUUUGAUAAAGAAUAGGAAAAAGGCUAAGUGUGGGACCUCCGUGACUCAUAUUCAGGCCUAGCCUCAAGAGACUAGGGCAAGGGCAUCAGGUGAGGGCACAUGGGGAAUCUUAGAAUAGGCACUAGGGUUCUAGGGUUGGCAUCAAUGGACUUGGUCACGAGCAUCGAGGAGUUGAGCUAGAGCACUAGAACCCAAGCUCAAAUGUCGAGACUCGGGCAUUAGGGUUGUUAGUAUUCAAAUCAGAAUUGAAUCGAAUUUUCGUGCAUUUACGGUUCGACUCGGGUUUCACUUGAAAUAAUGAAAAAAUAAUUGUUUUUUAUUCCGGUUCGGAUAGUUUCAAUUUAGUUUGAUUAAUUGGGUGGAAUGAAAAUCAUGCUUCUUUUUUAUACUACAAUUUACACAAUUUCUCUUUUUUGUUACUAAUCCUCUUCUUAAUAUUACAAAAAAGAAAUUUAAAAAACCGAACCAAGUUGUGAGUUAGUUCAAAGCUAAUGUACACCCAAAUGGUUUGGUUCCCUUCAAGUUUUUUGAAAACCCAAAUUGAACCGAACUGUUAACACUCCGACCACACAUGACAUUUGUGGACUAGAGCCCUAGUGUUGAAGAUUUAGGCACAAGCAUUGUGGGUCCCAUGUUUGGCCUUUGUGGACUUGAGCCCAGGUGUGGGGACAUCAAGCAUGGGAACUGGAGCCUCAAUGGACCUAGGUGCCAGCGAGGGGGCCUACCAUUGGCAUAAAAGGGCCUAGGCUCGGCCUUAAUGGACCUAGGUGCGAGCACUGGGGUCGUGAGGCUAGCCUCGACGGACCUUGACCCAAGCGUUGAGAACCCAAUCUUGGACGCUGAUACUUGGGAAUAAGCAUUAAGUUUUGUGUCAAAGCAUAGAAUUUUUUGUCCAAGCAAUAAUAUCUAAUAUAUUUUGUAAAAUGAUUUCUAAUUUUAAAUAGGGAAUUAUUUUCCUAAAUUUAAGUAUGUAUUUUCAGUUGAUUAGGAAAAUAAGUUCUAAUACUAAAAGGUACUGAGGUGGUCCACCUUUUUUUAUGUUUAAUAGUACAUACAUUACGCUUAUGUAUUAAUUUUUCGGAGACAUGACCAAGCAAUUCUAUUUCUUCACUCAGAAAGGCUUCACUUGAGAAACAAGUGGGUUGUUUAUUUGGCAAAAUUAUGCUCAAUUUCGUAUUUUUGGAAAAAAAAUUUGAAGUUAUGGAAAAAAAAAAAUGAAGUUUCAUUAGUAUAAUCGAAGCUUUUUGUUAACUUCAUUACUGGUCAACGAUGGUUUCUGUGUCUUCCCAGACCGGGCUUAAUACAGAAGAUAGAUGGAAAAACAUCCAUCAUGGCGUUAUGCAGGAAAAGGGCCUCAACUUUAUGUCCAUGAUCACUCGAUUAAAUCAAUAUUUGGGGCAAUUAGACCUAGACAACUCAUUGGCCAUGGCGCUGUCUGACAUGCCGAUGCUUUUUGGAUGGCAAAGCAUAGCCAAGGGGGGAAAAGAUGCAUGCUGUUGCUUAAUCUGCAAGAAUGUUCUUAUUAUGGAGAGAGAACUUUGGAGUACAAUCAUUGAUGCCAUUUCGCAUCAUCAUCUUCAAUGAUCAUCCUCACUAAUGACUCCUCACUCAGACAACACCUGAUGAUUUUGACCCAUUUUAUUAACCUGAAAUUAGGCUUGUUGACAUGGGAUAUUUCAGAAGGAAAAUAAUCAAAAAGUAAAUUAUUUGAUGCAGCGUGAAUUUCAAUUGGUUAAUUGUUGAUUCGCAUUUCAUUGGUUUGAUCGGCUGAUAAUUACUUGAUUGGAUAUUUUCCAUAACUUGUGACACCUGUCUAAAAUUUAAUUAGACAAUGAUCUAAGUGUACGUGAUGUGACCCUUUUAUAAUUAGUCUUAUUUUUUCGCUUUUUACAAAUGCCCCCUCUCGAGACGCAUUCAUUUUCUUUUUUCAUCAAGUGAACGUCUCAAUUUUUUUUUUUUUUGUAAUGCCAGCUGUAGAAGCAAUUAUUAGAUUUGCUAAAGACAGAACUUUGCUCUAGUAGCAAAUAUUAUUAUUAUUAUUAUUUUUUGCUUAUUAAAAUGUUUAGAUGUACAGAGAUCAAGAGCAUUAGGACACUUGAGAAAUUCAAAAUCCAUUGAACUUAGAAACAGUAGACCUUCAUCUAGGGGUGUGCAAAAUAUCUGGAAUUGCCCGAACCGCCCGGAACCGGACCGGAACCGCUCGGAACCGGCGGUUCUUGAGGGAACCGGUUCGGUUCCCGAUUCCAAUUUUUCGGAACCGGUGGGUAUCGGUCUGGUUCCCGGAUCCAUGGGCAGAUCUACCCAUCCGGACCGGAUCGGAACCCUUUUAAUAUUAAAAAAAAAUUACUAAAAGAAACCCUAAAUUAGAUAUCAUCUCCUCACUCCCUUCGUCUUCGGUUCUCCCUCUCUUUGUCUCUUCCUCGGUUCCUCCUAAUCCUAUCGCCAUUUCGAUUCCUCUCAGAGCGUCGACGCCGCCACCGCUGCUCCUCUGCCACUGCUGUUCGCCCCCUCGCGUCGGCUGCCACCCGCCACAGCCGCGGAAAAUUGUUUCACGACCGUUCUAUGUUAAAAACUCGACCAUAGACCCCAUCCCCUCCUUCCCAACUCAUAGACCCGACCAUUCUAUGUUGAAAAUCAAAAUUGUUUCGCGUCAAGAUUAGUUCCAUGGAUCCACCCGAGAACCGGACCGAAUUGGCGGUUUGGUUCCGGGUGGAUCCAUGUAACAAACGGGUGGAUUCCGGUUCCAAUUUUUCAGAACCGGUCCUUAGCGGGCGGUUCCCGAUUCUAGGUCGGGAACCGCCUGCCCGGACUAUGCACACCCGUACCUUCAUCCCAAUUCAAGUGGGAACUUGAAUCGAGAUGAACAAGGGAAGCAUCCACAAGAUCGCUAUAAAGAGAUAUGGAAUACCAUCAUUGUCUGAUCGGACAUGCAACUGUGCAAUCCUACAGAGAUUCCGCCGACGGUUCACCUACCAUGCCUAGACAUCCUUCAAUGCUCAAUGCCGUCGUCUUCCGGCCAUGCAGUUAAUUUUGUUUCUGAUGCGAAAGCAACCCUUGCCCAUGUUGCCGUUUUCGCACAGGAUUCCUCGAAUUACGUAACCGAUUGGUAGGUUGCAAGUUAUGAGGAUGACCCACAUGCAAACUGAUAGAAUAUAGAUAUAGGUGAGUUUGUGUUCGUAGCGCACUGAUCAUCUCUGACUAGAGAUGGCGCAAAAGAUGACCCGGAUCCAUACUUGUACCAUAAUUUUGAUACAGCGCUCAUUUGAGUGCCAUAAUUUUUUUUUCCAUCACUAAAAUGCCAUAAAUUUUUUUAAAAAAAUGUUCAUUUAAGUGUCAUAACUUUCAAUUGGUGCCAAAAUAUUUUACAAAUGUUUACCCAAGUGCUAGAAAUCUAACAUUUUAAAAAAAUUAUAAUACUUAAAUAAUGAAAUAAAAAGUCAUAUGACACUUAAGUGAUAAAAAAAAAAAAAAAUUGUUAUGGCACUCAAAUGAAUACUGUACAUAAGCUAUGGCACUCAAGUAAGCGUUAUACGAAAAUUAUAACAUUGAUGGUGUCCUUAUCUUGGCAUUUUUUGCGAUUGAAACCCGCUAGAAACGGAGCUUUAUCAUGAAGUGCGUUUUCACGUGUGAUCGGAAACAAGCUCCUUCAUGAAGAUUUGCAGUUGAAUAUCAGCAGCAGUCGGUCAAAAUACUCGAGGCUUCUCUCGGAGCACAUCAAACUCUCUUGAAAAUCCAACUCCACAAAGACGCAGCACAUCAAAAGCGGCCUCCACUGCCUUCGGGGUGUUAUCGAAUUCGAUGGUGGUGCUGCGACUUGUGAGUUGGUCGGAAGGACGUCGGCGACGACCGACCUGGGGUCGGUCCAAAGCCGAGGCAUGACACCAUGCGGGCGUCGAAGCAUUGAAACGGCAAAGUUAUUUUUGCGAUCUUUGAAUGCGACUAUGUCAAUGUACAUCGAGCAAAUCACGGGCCCAAGGAGAAGGAGUGAUCUUGGGAAAUGAUUCCUCGUCUUCUUUAAUGGCAUGCAGGCACUUUUUGAAGCCUAUGCUUUUCUUGAACGAAGAGGCUAUGCUUGAACAGUUUGGAAAGUGUCUUUCUUCUUCUUCUUCUUCGACAUCCUAAACCCUAAUUAAUCUAUGAAAAUUUAACUAGUGAAUUACAUUAAAUGAUCGUGAUUGGAAUCAAUCAUCAAGGAAUAAUUGAGUGAUUGGUUUCUUAAUUUGUAUCAAGCAGUAAAAACUAAAUGAUCACAAUGAAUACUAUACAAGAUUUAGAAACAUAGUAUGUGAUAUAGGAGACUUGUUUGAGUGAAAUAGAUGGGUUCGGAUUCCUCGGUGGAGGGUUUCAAAUGCAAACAAUUUCAUAUUUGAACCGAUCACUAAAACCGUCUCAUUUUUUUUAUGGUUCAUGAAAUUUGGGGAGUAUUUCUGUAUUAUCUAUAUCCAAACACUUUCUGUUCAAUGGACCGUGUCUCACACUGACGUUGGUUGGAUUUUUAUAUUACCUCCUAUUGAUUAGCGCUACUACUUUUUCUAUUACGAUUGGAAUUAAAAUGUAGUAUAUUAAAUUGGAUAAUGGCACAAAUAGUUCCUCGAAUUUAGCCAAUGCGUAGUGUCGCUUUGAAUUUUUAAUUUAGUCAAUAUGCUCCAUGAAUUUUUGGUACAUGUUUAAUAUAGUCCAUGGAUUACUUGGAGACUAAAUCAAAUCCAUGUAUAUAAUACUCAAGGACUAGAUUGAAUAUUUACGAAAAGUUCAAAUAUCUCACUGAAUUUUAUCAAUAUAUAUCUCAUUGAAUAUAUUAAGAGUUUAGGCAUGACAUUAUAUGUUGAGUUGAAGUUCAUGAACCACAUCAAACAAGUUGAAAUUUCAAGGAUACUAUUAUAUAUUAUAUCGAAGUUCAUGGACCAUUUGUAUAAUUAGUCAUUUUAAAUUGCUAUCCACAAUAGCAAAUUAGAUAAGUUUACUUACCAAAUUGCAAUAUUUUCAUAUAAAAAAGUUACCAAAUCCAAGGCUUACUAAAUGGCUCACAUCUCUACCACUGUGAUGGUUGAUCGAGUGGUUCAAGAGUUGAUUUGCAAUUUGAAAGCCAUAGUUUUAUUUCGCAAGUCCAUUCUUUUUCUUAGGGAACUUUGGCUAGUCUGCGAAGGGUGAGCUUAGAUUUCGGUUUCGCAUUAUGGUGGGGGUUAUGAUGAUGGGUUUGCCCGGUCGACAGCUAGUGCCAUAUUGGUAUUUUAGAUCAAACAUUCCAGCAGUGACCAAGGCGAGUCUUUGUUCAAUUUAAACCCUUUUAAUAGGAUUAGGAUGACCCGUGUGUGCGUGUGUACAUAUAUGUGUCCUUUUUCACUCAUUCCCAUUAAUUCCCCAUCAUUUCCACCACCGCCCGUUUAAUUGAAAAGGCAGCAAUGCAACAUGUUUCGUUACCAAUUUUCAUUUUCAAUUCGCCUCUAAGAAAGCGGUGUCGAGAAAGGGAAUGCCACUUAUAUAUCACAUAUGGUGGUUCCAACUUCAAUAACCAUACUUGCCCUCUAUGCCAUGCACAAUGAGGAGAUCUAUAUGAAUCGGAUUAUUGUGACAGACUAGUUAAGGUAAAAUUUUCUAAAAAAUCUUAAAUUUAUUACACAUUUUUAAUUUGGCUUUAAACUUUUUAAUUGUACCAAUUAGAUCUUAAACAUUUAGGAAAAGACCACCAAAAACCCCAAAUUUUGCCCAAAGUGACAAAUUUAUCCUAAACGUUUUUUUUUUUUUUGUGAUAUGAAAAACCUCAAACUUUGCAAAUUGGGAUACAUUUACCCGAUUAAGGGCAUUUUCGUCUUAUUAUUAUUAUUAUUAUUAUUAUUAUUAUUAUUAUUAUUAUUUAUGUUUUUCCUUUUUCUUUCUUCCCUCUGUUGGCCAUGGUGAAGGGAAGCCGGCGUCCGAUGAGGGCUGCCCUCAUCGGCGUCGGGCGAGAGUCACCCUCGCCGGCGUCGAGCAGCCCUCGUCGACGUCGGGCGAGGGCCUCCCUUGAUAGAUUUGGCGAGGGCACCCCUUGCUCGACCUAAUCGAGGGCCGCCUUCGCCUGACGCCGGUGAGGGCGGCCCUAGCCAACCUAGGCAAGAGCGACACUCCCCCAAUGCCGACGAGGGCAGCCCUCACUGGAUGCCGGCUUCCCUCUGCCGGCUCUGCCAUGGCCGGUGAAGGGAAGAGAGAAGAAGAAAAUAAUAAAAAGAUAAAGAAAAAAAAUCUUAAAAAGAAAAAAAGACCAAAAUGUCCUAUAAUUUAGGGUAAAUGUGUUACACGGAUAGAAAUUCAGGGUUUUUUGUGUCAUGAAAAAAAGUUUGAGGUAAAUGUGUCACAAUUGGCAAAUUUCGGGAUUUUUCAUGUCAACAAAAAAGUUCGGGAUAAAUUUAUCAUUUUGAGCAAAGUUUGGAGUUUUUGUGAUUUUUUCCCUAAACAUUUUUAUGUUUUAUCAAUUAAGUCUAUGUAACCAAUUUUGACCAGUAAUUGUUGACAUGUAUAUCAAUCAUCUAUUGUAGCACAACAUGAAAUUUUUUAAGUUUUUUAAAAAUUAAUAAAAAAAAUCCAAAAGAUAUUAAAAUAUUAAUAGAAGAAAAAAGGAAAAAUAAAAGAAGAAUUAGUAAUAAUAAAGAUUAAAAAAAAAUAUUCACAUCAACAUCGGCCAUAUCACGUGGGACGGUCAAUGUCCAUAUUAGUGAUUUUUAGCCAAAAUUAAUUGAAUGGAUUCAAUUGCCAAAAUAUGAAAAAUGUUUAGGAUGCAAUUAAUAUAACUAAAUAUUCAGAACCGAAUUGACAAAUGCUGAAAACUCAAAACUUGUUCCUACUAGUAUUGGGCUUUCAACCUUUUCAAUGUUGGCUUUCACUUGAAAAUUACUUCAAAAUAAUUGUCAAAUGGUCCAACAUUUCUUCAAUAGUCUUUGUAGGCUAAAAACUCAUUGGAAAUGCUGAACUAAACGCACCCUUAAUUAGAGAUUACUCGUGUGUGCGUGUGUACAUAUGUGUGUCCUUUUUCACUCAUUCCCAUUAAUUCCCCAUCAUUUCCACCACCGCCCAUUUUAUUGAAAAGACAGCAAUGCAGCAUGUUUCAUUAACAAUUUUCACUUUCAAUUCGCCUCUAAGAAAGCGGUGUCGAGAAAGAGAAUGCCACUUGUAUAUAACAUAUCAUGAUUCCAACUUCAACAAUCAUAUUUGCACUCCAUGCCAUGCAUUAUGAGGAGAUCUACAUGAAUCGGAUUUUCGCGACAAACUACUUAAGAUAAAAUUUUCUAAAAAAUCUUAAACUUAUUACACUUUUUUUAAUUUAAUUCUAAACUUUUUAAUUAUACUAAUUAGAUUUUAAAUAUUUUCACGUUUUACCAAUUAAGUCUAUCCAACCAAUUUUGGCCAAUGAUCAUUGACGUGUAUACCAACCAUCUAAUGUGGCACAUACGGUGUCGACAUGGAAAUUUUUUAAUAAUAUUUUGAAAAUUAAUAAAAAAUCCAAGGAAUAUUAAAAUAUUAAUAGAAGAAAAAGGAAAAAUAAAUGAAAAAUUAGUAAUAAUAAAAAUUCAAAAAAAUAUUAACGUCAACAUUGGGCAUUAGUGAUUUUUCGCCAAAAUUAACCGAGUGAAUUCAAUUGCCAAAAUAUGAAAAAUGUUUAGGAUUCAAUUAAUACAACUAAAAUAUUUAGAAGUGAAUUAACAAAAACACAAUCAGUUUAGGUUUUUUUGAAAAAUAUUUAAGAGACAUUAUUUGGGUAUCUCUUACUUAUAAACCACUUUAACAAAGCAUCUCCUCUUGGGUGUCGGCUUUGCGUGCUACACCACGUCUAUUGACCUUUAUGCAAUGUGAUGCUUAAUUAUUGUACGGACAUAUCAAGCACCACUUUAUAUAUAUUGUUCUAAAUUUGGAUCUAAACGCAACUUACUCAUGAUAAUUUGAUUGUUGAGUACAUUUAAAUUAAAUAACAAAUCCUGAGUUGAUGUGAAGUGAUCAAAGCUGGACGACUAAAGAAAGCCGGUUGAAUAGAGCACAAGAGUUCUGCUAUAAUUAUUUCAGGGCUAAUUCCAUAAAAAAAGCAUCAACUUUAGGUUGAUGGACAAAUCUGGCCAAAACUUUUUUUUGUCUCAUUAAAAAGCACAAACUUUAGGUCGAGGGAUAAAUCUGGCCUGAACUUUUUUUUGUCUCAUAAAAAAGCACCAACUCUAGGUUAAGUGACAAUUUUGGCCCCAAUUUUUUUUUCUCAUAAAAAAUUACAAACUUUCGCUCCUAUCCAAAAUCUAACCCCUACCAUUAACUUUCUAUUUGAAGUUAACCUUAUUUCAAGAGAAAAUGUUCUAGCUAUGAGAUUGGUGGAUCUCAUCUGUGGUUUCUCUUAACAGGCGGUGAUCUACAGCUUCAUAUUACGACAAAAUGAUAAAGUAUAGCUAGAGAAAUUCAAUCUGUAGAUUUUUUUACUUAUGAGAUGACACAGUUUCACGUUAUUCUUCAAGCUGUAGCUCAAACAAGAAGACAAUUAACGGUGUUAGCCAGUAAGUGCACAUGGAUUUAUUGAUAAAAACAAUCAAUAAAUUUAAGUUAAGGGGGGCCAGAUUUAGGAUUUAAGUGAAAGUUGGUGAUUUUUUUCGAAACAAAAAAAAAAUGGGCCAAAAUUGUCACUCGACCUAAAGUUGAUGCUUUUUUACGUGACAAGAAAAAGUUCGGGCCAGAUUUGUCACUUGACCUAAAGUUUGUGCUUUUUUAUGAGACAAAAAAAAGUUCGGGCCAAAUUUGCCCAUCGACCUAAAGUUGGUGCUUUUUUUUGGAAUUAACCCAAUUAUUUCGAGGAGGUAAUUUUUAAAAUAAAUAUUUCAUUAAAGUGAAAAUCAUUCUUUUCAAGAACCAAAAGGUGGAAGGUUGGGGGGCUUCUUGCCACAAAAAUCAAUGUGCGUUCCAAGAAAGGAAGAAAACAAUUCUUCUGGAAAAUAUCGUAAUGAGAUUUUUUUCAAACCAUUAAUUGUGUAGCUAAAGUUUAAUUACCCUACCUCAGCGGUCGCUACAAGUUGAGGUUGGCAGUUUGGGGAGAGGGAAAAGAAAAGUAUCUUUUAAAAGUAGGAGAGCAUCUUCCCAUUAAUUAUACAAUAGGUGAAUAAUUAUGAAGAAAAGCACCCCGCAUAAAAUUUAGAUUUUCGCGAAAUACUCAUUUUAUUGCAUUCACUUAAUUCAUAUUAGCGUAUUGCAUGCUGCUCUCUUAGUAUUUUUUUUUAGGGGAAAUUAAUUUUAAAAAAUGUUUUCUUAAUUUUCAUUAUCGAUAAUAAUUUAUGCCUAAACACCUUUGUGAAUGAUAGAAUUUUUUUUGUUCUUUUAUUUUUGUCGGUGAUAUAAACAACCGUUUUUAGGAAAAUGUUUUGUAUAAUAUGAAUGACUUUGAAAACAUUUUCCAAAAAAUGAUCUUUUGUAUUGCUUGAAAUAAUUAGUCAAUAAAUAUGUUUUUAUUAUCAAUAAUAAUUUGCAUCUAAACAUUUUUUUGUAGAUAUGAUGAAAAUAAUUUUAUUUUAUUUAUUUUUUAAGUAAUAUGAAAGAUUAGUUUUAGGAAAAUAUUUUCUAAAUUAUUUGUUUUUCUCAAAAUUAACGAAGCCUUAGAGUAAGAUAGGUUUCACGUUGAUCUCUCUUAUCUGACGGGUUAAAUGUAUUGUGCUCACAUUAGUCGGGUUUAUACAAAUAAUCAGACUCCCUUUUUUUUUUUUGGGUGUAUUUUGCAUCUUAUCUAAUUAUCCACCAAAGUUGACCAUUGAACAUUUCAAUAUUACGAUAGACCGAUUCCAAGCUAUGCAGCAUGCUCGCAUAGCGCUUUCUUUCUUCUAUUUUCAAGGGGUCCGCGUUCCCCUAACUCUUUAUUUAUAUGAGAGACAUUAGUAAAUAAAACUAGUAAUUCCAUAUCAAAGCUUUUUCGUCGAGCGCUUUCAAAGGGACUUUCAUUCUAAAAAUGGAUAGUCAAUUGUUUGAAUCCCACCCGACAUAACCCUUUUCAUUAUUCUAUUGUACUUAUCUUGUCACUUGAUACGUAUAAAUAAAUAAGAAAUGAAACAAAUUAUCCUAAUCGUAAAAAUUCGAGUAUAUUCCUAAGUCACUUUCAUCAAUUACACAGCUGUAUAAUUAAGAAAAAAACGAAACGAAUAAGAUAAUUGUGUAGAUCUACGUUAGCCAUGACAUGCUAGGGGCAUUGCACCCGACCCGAACCCAACCCAAAAAUCUUGUCACGCGAGAUUUAUCAAAUAUCUAAAGAGAGAGAUUAUUCUUUUUGGAGAACACAGGUGAAAAUCAUAACGGCAAGAACAUUUGGACCGGACAUCUUAGUCCAAGUCUAUUUCGACACAAAAAGGAGAAAUAUUUUAUUUCUUCCAUCUGGGCCUGUCGCUUUCGGGGGGGUUAACGAAGAAGGGGGUUGGUGGCCCUCUCUCUGUAGCUGAAGAUGAUGAUGCUAGCGGCCAGCGAGCGGCGACGCGUCGACCCACCAACCGGGACGCCAAACGCCUCGCGAGAGCGCGACGUGAACUGAAGAAAACUGCAACUCCAAACCCAUCUCUCUCUCUCUCUCUCUCUUGCGGUUGCACGUUCUUGAAUGCCAUCUGGGUCGUCGGCGAUGGCGCCGGAACUGAUUUUAUCUGAUCGUGGCACUGCCUCGAUCGCCAUGGACAUUCAAACUCUAGAACAGAGGUGCGCCUUCUUGUCUCCCCGCCUCGUUUUCAUUUCUCGUUGCCUGUUCUGAACCCGGUGCGUUGAGCUUCGUUGCUUCCGCCGGUAAAUUUACGUUUUUUUGGCCCCUGUAAACGUUCUUUCGUGGGAAUUCGGCUGAUUGAGCUGCAACCCAGUUCUUGUUUUUGCCUCUUCUCGGGUGCUGCCUGGCUGUUGAACGUCUCUUUGGGUAAAAGAAGGGUCCUUGUUAGUUCGUGUUUUCGGAAGAAUGUUAAUUCGACCGAGGGAGGUGAAAGAUUCUGCUGAAUUUGAUCGGCCUUUCUUGGUUCGUCUACUUGAUUUGGCCACUUAACUUACUGAUGUAAUUGAGAUUGUUAUCAUCGUUUAAAUUGCUUGUGUUCGUCAUUGGCCAAUGCUCAUUUGCUGAAAAGGCGAAUGCCGAGUUGGCAGGGGAUACAUUUCUUGGACACGGAAAGAGUAUAGACGUGUGGGAAUGUGUUUGGGACUCUGUAGUUUGCUAUGUUUUGAUCUUCUCGUUGUAAUUGGGGAAGUCUGGGUUCUUAUGGUCAUCACCGGAUGAUAUUAUUUUGUCUGGCCUCGUACCCUUUAUCUAUUGAGUGAACAAGGAGUGUUAUGCAAAACCUUAUUUUGAAUGUGAAGAUAUCAUUUUUCACAAAUGUUUUAGAUUCUGGGGUUCAUUGUUUUGGUUCAUCUGUGCUGAUCAUUUUCCCUUGUGAACUGUGUUGACUUGCGUCACCGUCACACUAUAGUUCGUUCGACACAGGGAGUGGCCUCAGGAAGCUGCUUGUUAAUCUCUAGGAUGAUUGUGGCUUCUAAGAAAUCUGAUCACUUUAGCCUUGUGACCACAUCUUUUUGGUUGAUAUAAUCAUAUAAUACUGCUCAUAGUUUUCUAUCUCUUCUUUUAUUUAGAAUGAUAGAGUGAGGUGCAGUGAAGAAGUGAUAGGAUGCUUUCUGGUUAGAUGUAGUGAUAUAGGUUCCUUUUUGCAGUGGUUCUUUGAAUCAUGUUUGUUAGAAGCCUAGGUCGCAGAUCUUUUUCAGUUUCACCGGUAAUAGGAGACCCGGAAAUUUGGUGUUAGGAACCUUUUGGGUCAGGGGGAUGUUGCUAGAAGGAUGAGUUUCGUGCAUUUUUAAUGAUCUCCAAAUAUGAGUCGGUGUCGGUUGUUGCACUCUCUACAUAUCCAGGAACUGGGAAUCUAGAAAUGUUGUAUAAACUUUUAGGUAUAGUCAGAUGAAUUAAGUGCUGAGAGAUGAUAUUUUCAGUGAUUGGAAGGAAGGGUAGUUGAAUAAGGAAACUAUUAUCACUUGGAAGCAAUCACUGAAGGCAUCAUAGAAAAGAUACAUAAAUACAAUAGAUAAUUGGUGGAAUUUGAUGAGAGUAUCAGUCUAUAACAAAUAAUUAUGGGUUUGGCAGCUUUUUUAUUCACCAUUAUGGAUUUUGUCAUCUGCUGAGACUGUUUAAGGGUUUAAAAGAGGGCAAACCACAAUAAAGGUUUUCAUAAAGCUGGAGGACUUUAUUUACCCUUUGGUUCAUCAUCUUUAGACUUGUUCAUCUAGUCAUUUCCUUUUCGGCUAUUAGUUGGUCAUUUCACCAAGUAAUCUAGCAAUAUAAUUUUUCUUCAGGAUCUUGAUUCCAGUGGCUGAUUGAUCUUUUGAAAUUAUUAAUAACAUUCUUUUUUGGUUCAGAUAUAUUACUCGGUGCAAAGACCAUGAUGUCCAUCCUAAUCCUACAAUAUUGUCCGGCUUCUCCAAGGUUGGUGUUAAAUAUGGUAAUUCUUUAUUAGAAAUCUGCAUAUUAAACCUUCUCCUGUUUUUCUCCCCUCGUCAGAUGUGGAAACUGUAGAAGGUAGCUUUUGGAUCAUUUUCCCAUGAAGAGAUAAUUCUUGGAUAAUGGGAACUUGGACUAGUGACAUCUCUGUUGCAUUCUUGUAAUCUGGAAGUUGUCACUUGUCAGUGCUUAGAUAUACUAAACAAUACAGAUAUAAGCUAUUGUGGAAGCGGAAGUUAGGGAAUCAAAUCCCUUAUUUUCAACCUCUCUUGCAGUUUCUUCUAGUACUAAUGAAGAGUUCUCAAUGGGGAAAUUUGUCUCUACAAGCAGCUAUACUUCAAUUAUUUUGUUGAACACUAAUAUGGAUUUUGCAGAAUGUGUUUAUGAAAGAUAGUGGUCACAACAAUGUUUGGGCAAAGAAAUAUUGGCUUUGUAUUUAAGUCAUUGUACUAAACUGAAUGGGAUAUUGGGAUAUUGAGGCCGAAGAGAAAUACUUUUACAAUUACAAUCAACAACUUUCAUGUCUUAUGAAAUGAUUCUGGUCAUUACAGGCAGUCAGAAUGCCCAGUUCUCUAGUUUGCGCAUUCUUUCAUGAAUUUGGAUUUCACAUGAUCUUUUUCUUUACUAGAAUUCUCACCAGUCUCCUUAUAGGAUCAUGUUAUAUUCAGUGAACUUAUGUUAGCAUCUUGAGGAUAUGCCCAACUUAACUGAACUCACAAUAUCUUGGAGAUAAUAAGUUGUGUUGACUUUCCGUUUAUGCCUCCUAAAUCCCAGGUCAAAGGAAUAAUACAUUCUUUUUUGGUGCUUAUCUUAGUUUUUUGGGAGCUUGUUCUUACCUUCUUCCUACCUUGUUCAACAAUACAUUAUAGUUAAAAUAUUUGUCUCGUCUCCUAAACUUAAAACUCUGCCAUUGCGUAUUCCCCUUCUCAUGAGAAGUAAUUAUCUGUCCAGAGUAAAACUCAUUCUUUAUUGUAGGUUUCUGGGCACUUUAUUUUAUCAUAUAUCUGCGUUUUUGCCCAAAUUUAUUCAAUUAUUUCUUCUCUUUCAUUCUGUUGCCUGCCUUGUUCUGCAGCCUGCCUGCAAUGUCCCCAUUCUCUGACUCUGCUACCAUAAUUUUCUCUGAUCCUUUGUCCUCUUGUUCUUUUACUUGUUUACUAUGCGAAUGUCAAUUUAUGGUGAUGAAAAUCAAAUUUUCUCAGAAGUUGAAUAUGUCUCUCUUGUACUACUGUUGGGACUAGUACACUCCAGGUGCUUUCGCCCUCUCUUGUUUUCUCCCUUGGGUGGGGGCGAAAUCUCCAAGGGUCCUCCUUUUCAUGUGAUUAUUCUGGAUUGAGUCUCACUGCUGGCUCAUUUCUGCUCACUUGUUUGCUCAUCUAAGAUAUCUGAUAUGAUUCCUGCUCUAGUCUUUGGCUUGGCCUUUUGGGUGGUGAAUUUGCUCAAGUUAGUGAAAAAGGUUCUUCUAUCUUUUUUUCUUCUAUUCAUCAAAUUCACCAUCUCUUCCGUAGUCAAUAAUAAUAACUGAAGCCCCCUUUAUCAACUUGUACUGCUUUGAUAAUGCCAUUGUGCUAAUCAGUUAGUGGAAAGAAACUUUGUUAGUUCAAGUCAUUGGAACCCUAAUUAGUGACUUUGCCUACAUGCUUGUUUCUUGGUCUCUCUAUCGUGUGCUUUUGGAUUUGCAUGUGCACAUGCUGGAGCAUGGUGCAUGCGCAUGUUCAUAUCAUGGUUUUUUUUUAGUGGUAAUACUGGUCAAAUCGGAUUUUGAUUUUUAACACUUUUUAGCACCACACAUCUUGGUAAUAUCUAUCAUACAAUUGUGUUAGGAUGUUCAGUUAACUUACUUUCUAUAAUGGACUUUAUUAUAAUUUUCUUCGUUCAAUUGAAUCUCUUUAAGCAUGUUUUCUUUGUUUAUUUUCUGCUCUAGAGGGGUGCUUCCUAAAGCUCAUUCUUCCUUUUUCUUUUAUGUGCAGGCUGAGGUAAAAAAAACUUGCCAUGAGUUAUGUAUACUAGAGAUCAUGCUAGACCAUCUCAAGGACAUGGAUCUCCAUCCACUACUUGAUGUAGUGGUCGACAUUGAGGCAUCUGAAAUUGAAGCAGUUGACAUAUAUAAUAAAUCAUCAGGUGAAUUAAAGGGAGAGUAUGCAUUAUUGCUGAUGCGUGCCCUGAAUAAAAAACUCCGUGUGGUUGAUCUCCAGGAUAUCUCCUUGGGAAAGGACUUUUGCCGGUACAUCCUAAUCUCCUUUUUAUCUCAGGAAGUUAUGGAAAUUUGACAACAUCACAUGCAUGGUCUAUUAUGAUUUUAAGUCCAAAGUUUUUGUUAUAAGGAUUGUGCACUUGAUAAACAAGUUUUGAGCAGUUUCGAAGUGCGGUAACUUAGAAACAGAUUACUUGAUAUCUUUGGCUGUGAGGGCUUUGGGUCAGAUUCUGGAGAGUUGAUCUUGGUUUUCUUUUAGGUUUUGCAUUCAAUAUGCUGCUUUAAACCUGAGUAGGUAGGUAUCACUGAAAUAGGGGAAAAAAAAUGCAAACUGGAGGCACUGGAGCAAGCCAUUUUAUGUUUCAAGGCAAUUUUUGCUUCCAUUCAAGUGCCCAUAGCUUUGUUAAAAGAUCUUAUUGGAGGAAGAUUGCAAUUUUAUUUGAAUUAAGGGUAAUUUAUAUUUAUCAUUUUUGUUAUAUCCAUUGGCCAUUUAUGAUGUGGUAAAUGUAGUACAUAGGUACCCCAACUUCUCUCUUGUUUUUAACUGUUAAAGAGGAAGAAAUGUGGAUAACUUAUAUCAAAAUACAAUUAGAUAUCAAAUUAUGCAUAAUUUGAAAGAGUGAAAGAAGUAGAAAGUUGGGCUUUCAGAUAUUUUACACGUUUGAAAGAAACUUAUGUAGUCUAAUAUCUGAGAACCAUAAGAUUAUGUCUGCUUCCCUCAGAUAAACACCCUUGUUGACCCACUUGUUUAAUAAGGAAAAACUCUGAAAAGAAGAGUUUUGACUUGUUUAAGGAGCCUCUUGUUCAAUUGUGGCUUCAAAUAGGUUGUGUUUGGUGGAGAGUGGAAGAUCCAUCUUGCUCUUACUGUGCUUUUUCUGUUUCUAAAAUCUAGCUGGAGGAGUUAAUCUUUAGUUGGGGGUGUGGUGGGUGGAUCAGGUGUUGGGAAGGGGGAGGAGGGAGAGGAGAGGAUGUGAGAAAGAGAAGAGAGGACAGGGUGGGGGGGGAGGGUCGUCCUGCCUCCUUCCCUGGGCUCUUUCUGAAAAUGGAAAAUUUUUCUAGUAAAAAUAUAAAUGGGUGCAGAACUGGAGUGAAGUUGUAGGAGUAUUAGAGAUAAUGAGAGUAACUAGGUCGUACUUGCAUUUAAAUGUUACUGUUGUGAACUAGUCAUCAAUGUUCUCUUAUAAGGCAAGAACUGAUUUUUAACUAAAUUGCUUUUUCAAAAUAAUGAUGUUCUUUUGGCGGUUCUAUGAAUUAGGGAUCUUUCAAGUAGAGGCUUGAUGUGCGAAGUGUUAACCAUGAGGUCUUCCCAUUUUCGCAAUCUCAGUAUGGUGGGGAAGUUUAGUCGAAUGCACACUUUGAAUUUGGAUUACGGCACUUCGCUAACUAGCUUCCAGAAAGAUUGUUUCGCUUGCAUGCCGAAUCUAAAGUUCCUGUCAAUGUGUGAGACAAGAGUUGCUAAUCUCUGGACAACUGCUGCUGCACUUUCCAAACUCCCUUCUUUGGUGGAGCUAAGAUUCCAAAGACGGUUAUGUUAUGAGGAUGUAGAAUCUUGUAUUACGUCAUCAAGUGGCAAUGAGGAUGGCAGAGAUAAUCCUUUUCCAGAAGAAUCAAAUAUUGAUAUUGCGACACUAGUAGAUCAGAAUUUAAUCUCAGAGGCUAUGCUUCACAAUCUAAUGACAGUCACUAACGCGAUUGGCAAUCCUGAACUACAAAGGGAAGGUGAGGAGUCAUCAGAUGAUAGUGAGGUUGAUUUCUCAAGUCAGAGGCAAGAAUAUGGUUUCAUGCAUGAAUUAACUAAUGCAAUCAGUGAGUGGAGUGGGAGGGCCAAUGCAAAUGAUGAGGUAAUGAUUGAAUUGAUCUUUACAUGCUUGGCAUUAACAUCAUAUGAGCAGCAUGUCAUGGUUGUUAAAUGGAAUCUUAGUCAACAGUACAAUAUUGUACUUGGAUAGGAAACAGAAUUGAGUCUUAACAUCAGGUAAGUUACUUGAAUAACUUCUAGAUUUUGUGGAUUUGUGAGAAGAGAACAAACUCCCAAUUAGACGAGUAACACUUUGGAAUGUCCAAGAAAGCCAUCAUAUAGUUGAAGCCGAAAGCCAUAUUUAAAGUAAACUAAUAAUAUAUACAUAAAAAAAUUUACACCAAGAAUAGGCUCUAAAAAUGGUAAGGAGGAUAUGUAUGCUUUAAAUAUGGCUUUUGGCUUUAACAAUAUGAUGGCUUUCUCGAAUUGUACGGAAAGUGGAUAGAAAAGAUGUCCUGAGUCAUAUAGAGAAUGACAUCAUCUAUAUAAGAUGUUCAGAACACCUUUGGUUCCUUUGCUUGUUAAUAAAUAAAUAUAUAUGCGAUGUAUUUAGCUGCAAUGAAAAUGCAGGUAGAAAUGACUGUAUUAGCAUCAUAAAAAUCAUCAUCAAUGUCAUGGAGGACAACAAGCUGCAGUGAAUGGAAGAGAAAUCAUCUUUUCAUUGUUUGAUGUAAUCUUGUCUGCAGGUCAGAAAAAUCUCAUUUUCUUUUCCAACUGUUGUCUGUUCUAUAGGUUGAAUCUCUCAGCCACAGCGAAGAAGAAUCUAUUGGUGCUUCAGGCACAUAUUCUUCUACAAAUAUUGCAUCGAAAUACGUUUCCUGUAGCUCUUCACCUAUAUGCUUCAAGAAACACUACAGAGAGUUCAUGAUAGCUUCUUUACCCCAUUUGAAAAUGCUUGAUGAAUUACCCAUUAGAAAGAAUGAGAGGGAACAGGCUGCUGCUACCUUUUCACAAUACUUUGAGUACCUCCCAUACAGAAGGAAAGCUAAAGAGAGCGUUCUCAGUAUCUUGCAAAACCGUGAAAUCAAAGAAAGUCGAAACCUGGCUCGUGCAAAUAAAAGAAAGAAUACAUAUCCAUCUGGAAAGUCUCAAUAUUUCUACACCAGGUCACUUUGUGCUGCCAGAGUAGGAUCUUGUCCUUGGCCUUCAUUGCAACCGCUUUCUUGUUCUAGUUCAGGAGAUGAAGCUCUGAACUUUCGCCCUAGACAAUUUGAGUAUCAUCCUUCAGAUUCUUCUCUUAUGGUUUUUGGAACAUUGGAUGGAGAGGUGAUCAUUAUCAACCAUGAGAAUGGUAAAAUUGUCAGCUGCAUCCCAUCUUAUGGAGUGAUGAGUAGUGUAUUGGGACUCUGUUGGCUCAAGAAGCACCCCUCUUUGGUAAGUUAUUAUUAUGUCAAUAUACUUUAAGACAACUACAUAGGAAUGAGUGCUACUUAUCUAGGCACAUUGCUGCAAAUUUGAUCACAACUUAUCACAAUUUUGUAGCAUGCAUGUACCAUUUUGAAGCUUUUAAUGAGUGAUAUUAAACAUUGAGAAUUUUGGCUGCUGUGGGUCUUCAGUCUAGUUAUAUCCACUUUUUAUUAGACUAAAACUUGCUUUAAGUAUAGGAUUACGUUCAGUUCCGAGCAUAAGAAAAUGGGUAAUUUGUAAUGUUUGUACAGAAGUUGUAAAAUCAGUGGAGAUUUUUCAAUUUCAUCUAUAUUUUGUCAUAAAACUUGAUCUUCUUUGAGACUUUCUGGUGAGUUUGGUGUUUGUGGUGGCUGCAGCUUUUACUCAUGACUAGUUUUUAGCUUGCUGAAUGUUAUAAAUAUUGAUCAUUCCGAAUCUUUAAGGCGUAUAAAUAUAUACAUUUAGAUUCAGAUUUUCUCCUAAUAUAUACACAUUGUUUUUUGAACUAAAGCAAAAGGCCACCUUUUGGCUUUUCUGCUGAAAGCAGUAAGUGUUGUCCAAAAGAAUCCCCACACCUCCUCCCCCCCCAAAGAAAAAAGAAAAAAGAAAAAAAGAAAAUGCAUGAAGCUAUAAGUUGUCUUUAAGAGGAUGAUGAGGAUUAGACUACUUAUCCAUCUUUCUUUCACCAAGAUCUUCUUCAUCACUUUUGCUAGGAUUUCAAAUCCCAGAAAUCCACCAAGGGGCGAGGGAUGGAUUGGUUGAAAAUCAGAAUUUUGAAACUCUUUUAGAAAACUAUAGUAUCAAAAGAAAUUAUGCUGAGACUAAGUGGAUGAUGCCAUGUUAGGCCAACAGUGAUGCUCUGAAUAAAUUGUAUUAAGGAAUAAGGGGUGAGAGAAUUUGAGCCAAGUACUUAUAAAGGUUCAGUUAUCUAUGCCUAGUUGUCUUUUUACAGUCUUAUAACCUCAGAAGGCUGAACUCAACUAUUAAGCCAAGUAGAUCGUGAGUUACUAAAUCUCUUUGCCACAGCAACAGUUGGAAGACAGAGAAUUGCACCUAUGCUGAUAAUUACGUUGUGUGAUAGUUGUCCUUUUUAACUCACUGUUUCCCUCUGUUUCAAUCUCAGCUCAUUGCUGGUUCUGACAAUGGUUCACUAAAGCUAUAUAAUAUCCACCAACUACCUCCAAACAAUUCAGGAGCAUAUUCAGGUGCUGGUUCUGUCACUUUUGAUGACUUUGAUCAGUUGACUUCAGUUCAUGUGAAUUCUGCGGACGAGUUGCUUCUUGCUAGUGGAUACUCCAAAAAUGUUGCACUGUAUGAUAUCAACAGUGGAAGACGUCUUCAAGUAUUCACAAAUAUGCAUCAGGAGCAUAUAAAUGUUGUAAAGUUUGCUAACCAUUCCCCAUCCCUUUUUGCUACUUCAUCUUUUGACCGCGAUGUCAAACUGUGGGAUUUGAGACAAAAACCUUUUCUUCCUUGCUACACUGCGACCAGUUCCAAAGGGAAUGUUAUGGUUUGCUUUUCUCCAGAUGAUCAUUAUCUUCUCGCAUCAGCUGUUGACAAUGAGGUAUUUGUUGGUACUUGUAAAAACCACCUGUAAAAUCCUGAAUUAUGCACUUAUUUUGUUUAAUUGUAGAUAUUGAACUGAGUAACGUCUUGCUUUUAGAUUCUCAAUAAGCAAGAGAUCCAGUCUCAUACGUGUCAAAAUUGAUUUUAAGAAUCUUUUGAGAUUUCAUAUGUAGUCCAAGCAGGAAAGUGUAUAAUAUGAAGCCAAAUAUGUUUUUUUUUUGGUAAAUGAAGCCAAAUAUGUUAACAAAUGCAUAGUGGAAGAUAAUGCUCAAUACAUGAUCUAUAUAAGUUACACAAAUGUCUUUAUUCAAACAGCCAACGUAAAAUCUAUUAGCCCGUAGUAUUUUAUGAUCAAGGCUACGUACACUAUAUCAGUUGUGUCGGCAACAAUUCCUCCCCACUUUAGUAAAACCUGUCGCAAGGGCAAAUGUGGUGACCCGUGUCUCAAUUCUGGAUGGAAAUAAAUGCACCACUUCGUUUUGCGUACUCCCUUUCCUUUUAGAAUGCUCCCCAUAUUAAAUGUUCCAAGCCUUCUGAUUUUGAGACUUUUUUAUUUUAGUUAAAUCGGGAUGUCUUCAUAACAUCUCUUUAGUUUUGUCAAUCCUGAGAACACCUCCAGAAGAACUCAUCAAAGUAUUAUUUACAUUUGUUGGAAGUACUUGGUACCAUCCACUAGAUUGAGUUUUCGUAUAGUAAGGUCUCAAUUUUUGUGUAUGCAAAACUUACUCCUAGUUUCAUCUGUUUAAGCAUUUACAUCUUUGCUGCUAUUGUUUGAGAUCCUUCUUCACCCAUUUCUUAGGCCAUGCUAUUUAAUAUGUGACAGGUUAAACAAUUUCGGGCUGCUGAUGGAAAGCUUCUUUUGGAUUUUGGAAUCAAUCCAACAGGAAGCUCCCAGAAUUAUACACGUUCAUACUACAUGAACGGCAGGGAUUAUAUUAUCAGCGGGAGCUGCGACGAGCAUGUUGUCCGUAUUUGCUGUGCGCAAACUGGAAGGCGUCUUAGAGAUGUUUCCUUGGAGGUAAAAUCUAUGACAUUUGCAUGAUAUGGAAAUUUUAUGGAUUCAGCAAGUUGCUAGCAAUUUAGGCUAACUUUAGAAUGCUGUGAGCUUGAGAUAUGAUGUAUCUUGCUUUCCUGCAGAAGCAUCUUCUGUUUAUAAACUUAAUGGUGUCUAACUCCUGUCUGUUAAUCUCUAUUUAUCAUUUUACUAGAGCUAGAAAAACACGUCAGACUUCAUGAUUUGAUACUCGUACGGCAGAAAGAUGUGUUGUUAUGGUGGGUUAAUCAUGAUUUAGCCUGAUUGGAAAUGCUAUUCGGGAUAUUGGUGGCUUGAAAUCUUACUUUCACGUUGUUAAAUGAUAGAUAUCAAUUAUGAGCUUCAAUUAUAAGAAUUAUGAUCCUUGACAAUCAAAUAAAUGGAUAUCAAUGAUGUCAAAUGGGAGGUUGAAGUUUUGAUCAUUUAGUAAGGCACUCGAAAGUCCAGAAUGCGACCUUAUAUAAAGGCAUGUCUCUGUGUCUCUCUAUCUAAACUUAGUCAAUAUGCCCCUGCUGUGGAACACAGGAUAUUUCUUUUUGUAUCCUCAUAUGAGGCUAAGUCACAGUUGGUUAAGAUCUUGAUUGUUUGAGAACAUGUGCCAAAUGAUCUUGCUCAAAUUGUGUCAAAAUCUUCAAGAAAAAUAUUUAGGCAUUUAUAAAAUGAGCAAGGUGGAAAACCUUGGGUACCAUUUCUAAUAAAUAGCUCAGAUAAGUGAUUACAGUUUGAGUGGGAAAAUAUAUAUAUCUUCUAUGUGAGGAAAUUUUAGUAGCCACCAUUGAAAGUUCUCAACCUGAAAAGCAAGAAUAAGGCUAACAAUGUAUUUCCUUAUUAAGUAGAAUGGCUGCACAAAUUCCUGUGUUGUUUCACUUAAUAAGAGCUAUACCUUCAGUGAAACCCAAUUGUUGACAUGCUUUAAAUAAGAUGAUUUGCAACCUCCUGGAGUCAUAUAUUCUAAUUUGAGAAUUUGAAGCCAUCUCCUCAUGUGACAUUGCAAACGAGUCUCAAUAUUACAUAUAAAUCCUACGUAGGAUGGAAAUCAGAAUCAUGAAAUGGACGUAUCGUUUUUGAAUUGUGAAAAAAUUGAAUCAAGCUGUGAAUUAAAAGAUUCGGCAACAAAGUUCCCGAAUAAGUUGGACAUGAAGUGUAGCUCACUAAAACUAGGUAAGAAUUAAGAAUAAAAUUAAUGAAUAGGUGAUUUCAAUCAUAACAAAAAACCACUGCCUCAUGAAUGAUGUAAUUUCUUAAAAUUUGAUUCCAUAAUUGUCCCCCCCCCCCCCUCUCUCUCUCUCUCUCCCUCUCCUUGUGCAAGAUGUUUUUGUGGAGUGUUAAGUUAGCAUAGCCAUGCCCGUGCUUUUUCAUACUACUGUGGAGAAGAUGGAGAUUAAUCUUUCUCAUAUUAGGAAGCUUAAAGAUCGCACUUUGUUUUCGAAAUAAUUUUAUUUAUCAAGAAAUUGUUCGAGUACAUCAGUUAUAAGCAAAACAGCGAACUGGCAACAGUCAUUUAUAGUGAGUAUGGAGCAUGGAAUACGUAGGUGCAAAUCCAUAAAAGCGGAAUGAGAUGAAGAUGAAGAUACCUUGACUCUUACUUCGUUUCUCUUUUUAAAUGCUGUACACUGGAAAUUGCAAAGCUACACUCCAACUCCUUGGAAAGGUGCUUUAUCUUUGAAAUAAGCAUAGAACCGGCUUUGGCACAACCCAACAAAUGCUAUAAUUGAAAAUUGAAUUGCUAAGCAAAAGUGUGGGAAAAAGCAAAUGAUGUGUAGAAUUCUUGGACGCUUCAUGCAAGUUGAACCAAUUAGAAUGGAAGAGUGCUUUGGAAGAUUCUUGAAGGUGAGGCCUCUUUUCCAAGAAGCUGCCUGAACAAAAUGAGAUGUUGGGUGGGACAUUAGGAAGCCAGAUGGCUUUGGGAGGAGAAUGACCAGAAUCAUUGAAAGUUAAAAUUGCUUAUAGCUCUAUGGUAGGAGUUAAAUGAGAGGACUUUGCUUUUAGAGACACAUGGAAGCUUGUCUUCCUGUGAAUCACCAGGAUUGCUACUGAAAGGGCAAAGCGGAAGGAAGAGACAUGAUCAUGCUCCAAUCAGUAAAGUUCUUGAUAAAAAUGGGAUUCAUAUGAUAGGUGCAAUAAUUAACACACCAAAAUUCAGAAAUCAUAUCAUUCUGAUCAUUGAUUAGAAGAGGAAUGAAAUCAAUCUAGACUUAAGGGGAGGACCGUAGCACCAAGCAUCGUGCCUGAAAUGUACUGUACAUCUGUCAAUCGUCACUGAUCUCAAAUCAAACAGAGGUUUUAUUUUGCUUGCCUACCUAUUUAAAAUUGAUUGCGGUAACAACAUCAGAACAUUUAUUUGCUGAACAUGUCCUGAAUAUGCCCAAGUAGUCAUAGUCCUAAAUUCAAAUGCAGUUGCUAAGAAUCAUAAAAUGAAAUAGAUGGCUGAUUUAAAUCCAUAUUACUUUUAUUCAUCAAUGUUAUGGCCAUCUAAGUUGAUCAAGUAAGCUAAUUAUGGGUUAUGCAUGAUCUGAGACCAACCAGUAUUCAUUUAUUAGCGAGAGUUAUAUAGGUUGACUGGACGGUGACAAGAUGUAAUUAACCCUUAAAAUAGCUAAUUUCUUGUAUUGUUGACCGGUGUCCAGGUUUUGUAAGUUUGAAACUGAAAAUGUCCACCCUAUUUAUGGAAUGCCUCAGUGGGAUUGGCACGUGCAUAGCAGGAUAUGCCAAUUGGGAUAUAGCGGUGCAAUAACUCAUUAUAGUGUCCUAUUGUUGUCUAUGUAAUUUUAUAAAUCAAUUGAGCUUCUGCUGAAAAGGAUGCCCUUAUUCCUCAUGCAAACCCACCAAAAGGAAAAAAAAAAAAAAAAACGGUUCGUACUUGUGCAUGCAGAUGAAGAGAAAAGAAUGAAAGAGAUUCAAAUGGAAUAAAGAUUGACAAACAGAAUUUCCUCUGACAUGCAUUGUAAUUAAAAUACAGUAGAGAACAACUCAUUUCCUGGAAAGCAGAUAAUUAACGAUCAAAAAGGUAUUUGCAAGAUGCUAAUUACUGAAACUUUAAUGGUCGUGUCAUCAAAUGAAACCAUAAUCUUCUGAAACUAAUGAGGUUGAAAGGAAUUAUCUGUGAGCAUAAAUAAAUUGAGCUUAAUUCCUUUUGUUAUAAAAUCCUUUGGACCUGUGAUGCGAACUUGAUUUAUCUAAUAAUAAAUGUUUUUUUUUUUGCAGGGAAGAGGUUCAGGAUCUUCCAUGUUUGUGCAAUCUUUGAGGGGUGAUCCUCAUAGAGUGAGUUAUGCUCUAUUUCGCUAUUAGGCUUUGCAAUUUAGACCUAAUAUAUCAUCUCAAACUGAUUCCUUGUGUUACUAUCAGACUGAUGUCUCCAUAGAAUUCUGAGAAACAUGUUGACACAACUUCUGUCCAUUUUUGGUUUCUGUUGACAUGCUUUUACAUAUUUAACCAGAGGAUUUUUAUAUUCAAAGAAAUCUAUGGUGAAUAUAAUAGUGAUUGAGGUAGCACUUAAAGUAUGGAUUUGGUCCAUCAACUGUACACUUUCUCUAUGCAGCCUCUUGCUAAACUUUUUGCAAUAACGUCUACUUUUACGUUUCUAUUUACUUCCAUCUGUUACAUGUGCCACUGGAUGAUGGUAGGGGUGCGUUAUAGAAUGUCCACGUGUUCAAAGGAGGAUGUGCAGGAAAUGAUUAUUGAUAUACUGAUCUACAAAUUUCCGUGAAAAUGUGAGGGAGAAACUAAUAUCAUUAAAUUGUUAAAUGUGUGGAUAUCUUCACAUUUACGACUAGGCUGGUAAAACAUCAUAGAAAAUUUUACCAGGACUAUGCUGGUAAAAUGUCAUAGCAAAUCAAUAACUAUUCCUAAAUGAAAUUAUUCCUGCUGUCUCUUGUUUGUUAUCGACAUUUAGAAUGGUCGAGAGCCUCUCUAUGCCCUUUUUGCUAGCACGGUCCAAAACAUUUCACGCGGUAUUGUUAUAUAAGAAUUGAAUAAUUAAGGAUCUUCAUGCACAUCACUUCUAGAUGUGGUCUGGUUUUCCUUCUAUCUUUAGUCUUGUCCAGGAUGGGAAAGUUUAUAUAGGGCUGCGUCAAUUGAUGGAAGAAAGGCAAAUGCAUUUUAAACAAUUAAUGUUUCUGCCAAUUAAAUUUUAGAUAUCAAAUUUUAGGUACCUUUUACUCAUCAUUGCUCAGGCAUCUUUCUCUAGUGAUUCUGUUUUUUAUUCUGCAUAACUUUUCAAGAGGAUUCUCCUGGUGGAUACAAAAUUACUAGAAAAUAAAAGAAACCAAGCUAUUAGAAUGUCUUAUGUUAUUUUUCCGGUUGCAAGAAGCUUGAGAUUGCAAAACUUUGGGAGAGAAUACCUCACCUAAGAAUACGAAUCCUGCUUAUAGAGCAGUUAUAAUGUUAACUUGCAGACUAAUUUAUACCUCUGUUGCUGUUGUUGCUUCCUGAAUUCAUGCAUUUAUUUGCUUGCUACAUGUCGGAAAGAUGUUGUUACUUAUUGGAUUGGUUACCAUCCAACUGUUAAGAAGUCUGGCAUGAUCAGCUUUUUAUUGCGUCUCUCCUGUCUCAAAUCCUUCAAUUAUCAUUUAUAAGCAGAAAAAGCUCACUCUUUGAGUGAUUGCUUCCUAAGCGACACUAAUAGCUGUUUGAUGUCUAUCCUGCACUUUCGUUCACUGUUAUAUCAUCCCCAUGCUGUUUCCAUCCUCAUUCACUCCAACUACUGUGAUCAGGAUUUCAACAUGAGCAUUUUAGCUGCCUAUAUGCGUCCAAGUUCAAAAUCAGAGAUUGUCAAGGUAUGAUCUGCUGACAAUUUGUUAUUUCAUUUGCUCUCAAAAUCAUGUGUUAUAUAUCCUUGGGUUAUGAGUUAAAUCGAGCCAUAAUUGUCAGGUCAAUCUGCUAGCAUCAAAUGAUGAUACAAAGGAGUACUCUAAUGGCCAGAACGUUCCUGUAUCCAACAGCCUGGGAGGUUGAUGAUUCUUGGUUCUAGUUGUAUAUUCUCCUACCUUCAAUGUGUAAAUAUGGAUUUGCUGUGUUAACAUUGAAUGAUGAACUCAUUAAGUGAGUCCAUCGUGCUGGAAGCAAUUCACAGCAGGGUGAAGAAACAAUGUUUAUAGUGAAAGCCAUGGUGAGGGUUAUACAAAGUUGCUGUGCUGAACAUUGAAUGAUGAACUUGUUAAGUGCGUCUGUCCUGUUGUAAGCAAUUCACAGCAUGGCAAAGAAACUAUAUUUUAGUGAAAGGCAUGGCGCGGGUAACUUGCGAGUAUAUCUGCUACCCAAUUACCUGUUGUGUUGUUAUGUUGGGAUUUCCCAAAAUUAUCUCUUUAGUAAGCUAGAUAAUUAAUUUGUUCUGUUGUUAGCUUCUGCUAUAGUAAUCAUUCCUAAGCAAGCAUCUCAAGUUUACUGUUAAGCUUAGCAGGUCAUUGUGUUUUUGGGGACUGUUGCAUCUGUUUCCAGGGGAAGAAUGGAAGGACAAAUUAGACUUGGAAGUGUGUGAAUGCUUGUGCAAAAUCUCUCUGAAUCUUUCUGGGUUCAGCUGAAUGUUUUUUAUUCUGUUGCCGUCUCAUCUUGCCAUGGAGGUUAGUGAUACUUCAAUGAGGCAAUGAGAUGAAACUUGCUUCACCAACAGAUGAAUAGGAAAAAUGGAAAGUUUUGUGUCAGGGCCUGUGUCUGCAACUGUAGCACUCGCUAAACGUCAGCAGUGUAGAUGAAAGGAGCCUUUCGGGGAUGGACAUGUAUCCUUUACUCCCUUCUUUCAUUAAUUUCUUCAUUUAAUAUUCACAAUUCACUUCAAGAUUGUCUUUUAACUUAUUUUUUAUCCAGACUAACAACUCAAAUAAUUUCUCAACGAAAUUGCAAGUUACUUUAUACAGUUCAUGUCUAUAUUUAUUUUCAUCUUUGUAGUAUAUUCACUUUUCUUUUACCUUAAUAACUGAGUUUUCUUUUAAAUAAAAAAGAAAAGUUGAGUGCUGACACUUAUACUUAGGUUCAUGCAUUUUUGCUAACUGAUUUACUUUAAAUUUUUUGAAAUUGAUUCAUGAAAACAAUAAAGAGCGUUUAAUAAAAUGCUUUUUUUUUUGGGGUUGUUGUACUGAUAUCCAAAUUUUUUAUUUUUAGAUACUGAUUUUCAAGGAAAUUAUCAUAUGAUAUUAGUGCAUUAAACAAUCUGUCAUAUCAUUUACUAUAGAGUAAUUAAAUAAGAAUAUUUCAUUUCAAAGCAUUUUCUACUGGAAUUAGAUUUCUUGAGAUAAUAAUUGCGCAUGGAAUUACCUUAACCAUACUUUUGUAGAAUUGAAUAGUCAUCAUUUGUGUUCUAGAUACCUUUAUACAUAUAUUCUCCAGAAAAUUGUUGAAAGUCCGAAACAUAUAACACUUCUAUCUAUUUAGUUUUAAACAUUUUAAUUUACCAAUUAAGUCCUAAGCUAUUUCAUAUUUGGUCAAAUUGAGUCAAUCGGGCUAAUUUUGAUAAAAAAUCACUAAUGUUGACAAAAAAAGUUUUAAUGAUAUUUUCAAUUUUUUUAAAAUUUUUAUUUUUAUUUUUACUAUGGCUGACGAAGGUUGCUAAGCCCUCACGGCCACUAAGCAAGGCCAUCACAACCACGGGUGAGGCUGCAUUGCUCGCAAGUAGGGUGUUGUCCAUGGCCGUAGAAGUGAGCUUCAAACUCAUGCCAUUAUUGCCAGCUUAGAGCUCGAAGCUUGAGCGUCCAAGAGCUUAGAGAUUAAGCUUGAGUAACCAUGGUGAUCUUAAGCUUGAAGCUUGAGCUUCCAUGGCAAAUGUGAGCUCGAAGCUUGAGCAUUCAUGGCUACAAGCAACGGCCAAUCACGAUGGCCUCACUUAGAUUUGGGUGAGGUCGAGUAAGGGCGGCGACCCUCGCUAGCAACCAGUAAGAGUUGUGACCCUCACUAGCUGCCAAUGAGGGGCUUUGUGACCCUUCCUAGUGGCCACUGAGAGCUCGGUGGCUCUUGCCGGUUGUAGAAAAAAAAUGAAAAACAAAAAGAGAAGCAAAGGGAAAAGAAAAAUAAAUAAAUAUAGAAUUCGAAAUAAUAUUAAAAUAUUAUUAAAAAUUAUUUGUGUUAGUAAUAACCAUGUUAUGUAAGAUGAUCGGUAUCCACAUGAACUAUUUCCAAUUAAAAUUGAUCAAAUGAACUCAAUUGAUUAUGAUUCAAUUGACAAAAUUAAAAAGUCUAAAAUUAAACUAACAAAAGUGUAAUAAAUAUAUGACCUUUUACAAACUUUUCUCAUUCUCAAACUAUCACCUCAUACUUGAGGAUCAAAAUAAAAUUUGUGAAAUUUUUCUUUUUUAAUGCAUUGAUUUAGCUUGUAUAGUUCCACGCCGUUUAAAUCUAUCUACAAUUACAAGUACUCGAGUUCUUAGGACUAAUACCCUAAAAAUCCCUCAACUUUAUUAAAUCUCAGUUCUUCCCUCAAUUUUUUUUUAUUAAAAAAAUCAAUUUUUACUUUAACCUCAAACCUGCCAAAAUCAUCAUUGAUUUCUUUAACAUUAUCGUCAUUAAGAAGUUAUUGUCCCAUAUAAAUGUUGAUAAAAAUGAAUGUUAUAAUAACGAAUCUCUAACUAAACUAGAAGCUAGUGGUAAUUUUGGGAUGUGUGGGCAGCUUCGAGAUUAGAACAAAAGUUGUAGAUCCUUUUCAGACAAAAAAAAAAUCGGGAAUGGAAUUAGGAUUGGAGUAGGGUUUAGGGAAUUAGACCCAUGGAUUCUCGCUAAUCUUUCAUGUACAUGUCUACAGCAUUUUCACAAGCUGCAACAGUUUAUGACAGCACCUAGGAAUUUGUCACGUCAGGUUUUUUAAGGUGGUGUCAGUCGAGUCUGCACCAUCUACCGACACCUCCGCCUUCAUCGCACCGACCGCCAUCCCCUCCAGAAUCUACCCGCCAUCCUUCUCUGCCACCUUCACGUGUGACUGACAACGUUCGGACAACGCUUGCCAUCACCAAACAACAAUAAGCCACAGCACUCGCGACAGAACAAGAAACGACAAGAACCGAAGAGGAAGAUGGAAACAAUCCUCAUCCGUCGUUCAAGACAGAGUAAGUCAUCGUUACUACACACGUGCAACAUAAAACACUGAGCUGGAUCUGGGCCGUUAAAAGUGGCGGAUCUUACGUAGAAUUUGUGCGGAUCCGAUGACGGUGGACGGUUUCGAUUGAGCUCCGUCUCUCUUUUUCAUUUCCAGGUGUAGCUCUUUAUAUAAGAGCUUCAUCUCGACAGAACGGGACCUCCACCGUUAGCGAGACCCGAAGAUAAAGAAGAAGCUAGAAGAAAAGCCAUGAAGCUGCUGGCUCCGACUCUUCUGCUCUGCUCGCUCCUCCUGAGCUUCGCUCUCUCGGAGCCUUCAUCUGCAACGUCGCGUGAGUAUAAGCAAGCAUACCCUCUUCUUGAAAUGACCCUCUUCUUAAAAUGCUAGAUUUCAAGUCAUGUCAAUGCUUGCAAGAAUGGAUUCUUGUGAAAUGUUUCUUGGAUUAUGGUCUUGUGCUUCGGAUUGAGCAACUCCAUUUCAGCCUGACUUGGGUUCUCUCUCUCCGUGAUGUUUUUUUUGUAUUUAGCCAUGUUUUCCUCCGAUCACGCCUCUAAUUAGUGAGUUACAAACAUCGGCAUUUACCCACUUUUUUAGUUAGGUUUACAUGUAAGUGAUGUCCAUGAACAUACAUUGAUGCUGGCGAUGAUAGUACAUAGAUGAAAUACUGCAGCAUUCUGUGGGAACAAGUGCAAGGGGAGGUGCGCGAAGGCCGGGGUGAUGGACCGGUGCGUCAAGUACUGCAACAUCUGCUGCCAGGAGUGCGGGUGCGUCCCGUCCGGGACCUAUGGCAACAAGCACGAGUGCCCCUGCUACCGUGACAAGCGCAGCUCCAAGGGGAAGCCGAAAUGCCCUUGAUCACAUUAUGCAUCCUCCAUUGAAUCUAGCGACUCUAAAGUUUGAGCUUGAGUUCAUGGCCUUGAUGAUCAAUAAGAGAUUGUAGCGUUCAGACUAGGGUUUAAUAGCAUGUGGACAUCUCUGCUUGAUUUUGUGCUUGGGAGGUGUUUGUGUUUCUGUCUUCCUGGUGGGGGUAGUCCUGAUGAGGACAUGUCAUCCAGUAGUUGCAGUCUUUUGCCCCUUUCCCAUGAAUUAUAUUGCCUGUAUUUGGUGUUACUGAGAAGUGAUCAUUUUAUCUCUUUUGUGUCAAUUGAAAAGAAGAUAUCAGACUGAACAUCAUUUUGAAAACCAGGGGCCUGAUCAGUUUGAAAACUAGGGGAGAGAGCUGGAUUCAGAUCAUAAUUCGAAUAUGACCAAACCGGUUCAAUUCCCGGUUCUACGAACCUGUAGCCGGCCUAGAAUUGGUUCGAUCUCUGCCCGGAGUUCUAUUGGGAACUGACUCGACCAAUCCUUUCCCUGGUUAAACUGGUAUUGAAGCCUCAUUUUGGAAAAAGAAAAUAUUUUUGCACCCAUUAAGUUAAGAAUUGAACCAUAGUAUUGAACACAAAAUUAUAAUAAUAUAAUUAUUCGAACCAACGUAACUUUUAUGUUUUACUAUAAGAAUUUCGUUUAUGACCCAAUAUAAAAACGGGCGGUCUCUAGAUAGACCCGAAUCAGAACCAACCAGUCCAUGGAAUCGAGUCCACAGAAUUGGGUUCUUGAAACAAGACCAGUUUGGUUCUCGUUUUUAGGCCAUAAAAGGCCAUAAAUUUUUUACCCAUUUUGAUACUUAGGCCCUGUUUGGUAAAAUCUAUUUCUAUUCUCCCGAACAAAAUUUUUCGUUCUAAAAAAGAAUAGAAGCCUAUUUGAUAAAACUUUUGUUCCUGGGAAUAGAUUUAGAACAUAAACAAUAAGUAAGAAAAAAUAGCUUAUUGUUUCCAAAAACAAUUUCUAGAAUCAAUUUUUCUUUCUUAUCUUUUCUUCUUCUUCUUCUUCUUCUUCUUUUUGACCAGUUGCCAGAGCAUCGUCGACAAAUGGAGACACCGAGCCAUGGCGAGGCUCGUCAGCCCAAGUCUCGCUGGCCAAUGUGAGGCUAGACCUCGCCCAGGCGGCGCGAGGCUUAGCCUUGCCAGGCUAGGGCAAGGCCGACCUCGCAUUGCCUGGGUGAGGUUGAGCCUCACAGGUGGCCUGGCGAGGCUCACCUGGCCACCGAGGCCAUUGACGAGACUUCGGUGAGAUUGUCGGACCUCGCCUAGUUAGUUGCUGGUUGCCGCCGUGGCCGAUGACUGGCCACCAAGGAGGAAGAAGGAAAAAAAAAGAAAAAAAAGAAAAAAAGAAGAAAAAAAGGAAAAAUAUAAUAAAAUAUUAAAAAUUAAAAAAAAAACAACAAAAUUAUACAAUUUUACUAAACCCAUUUCUAUCUUGGGAAUAUAAAUUUUUUAUACUUAUCAAGUGUGUUCUUAUACUCUGAAAUUGUUUUUGGGAAUAGAAACAAAAAAAAUAAUUUCUCAUCAAAAAUUGUUCUCCGAAAUAGAAUUGUUAUCGAACGUGUCGUUAUCACCCCUACCUAACAACGAUCUCACUUUGGACGAGUCGGGAGAGGCCCAUAUAAAAAUGGGCUCCAAUUCAUCAGCAAAGCCCAUGGGCCCUCAAAACGACACCGUCGCUCCCCCUCUCUCUAUCUCUCCCUCCCCUACCAUUUAAGAUUUUGGCAUAAUUUGAAAACACACUCUCUCUCUCUCUCUCUCUCUCUCUACCUGCGCAUCGCCAAAUCGCCAUUUCCAGUUGCUUCC